CACAAAUUAUAAAACAUGUCUUUUCUCUCCUCCACCGCUCUCUUCUUCUUUAUCGUUCUUCUUAAUCUGAGUUCUUUUCACGCCUCCGAUGGAGCUCAACAAGCUACUUACAUUGUUCACAUGGCGAAAUCUCAGAUGCCCUCGAGCUUCGACCACCACUCUCUCUGGUACGAUUCCUCACUCCGCUCAGUCUCAGAAUCCGCUGAAAUGAUCUACACCUACAACAAUGCGAUACAUGGAUUCGCCACUCGGCUUACUCCCGAAGAAGCCGACUCCCUCAUGACCCAACCUGGUGUCAUCUCGGUUCAACAAGAGCAGAAGUACGAGUUACACACCACUCGAACUCCACUAUUCCUUGGUCUCGACGGACAAAACGCAGGCCUAUUCCUCGAAACCGGCGCCUCAAGCGACAUUAUCCGUCGCUACGUCUUGACCGAUCCGAAUCCCACCACUUCCAUUUUGAUCAGAGGAACAGUCGUGAACGUCCGGCCAUCUCCGAUGGUUGCGACGUUUAGCUCGCGGGGACCUAAAACGAUAAUGCCAAACAUUCUCAAACUGGAUUUGAUAGCUCCGGGAGUCAAUAUCCUCGCCGCAUGGACCGGAGCUCGCGGGGACCUAAUACGAUACUCGCCGCGUGGAAUUCAACAUCAAGUCAGGAGCGUCCAUGUCUUGCCCUCACGUGAGCGGUUUGGCGGCUCUUCUCAUGUCUGUGCAUCUGGAAUGGAGCCCGGCGGCGAUUCGAUCGGCUCUCAUGACCACCGCUUACAAUACUUACAAAGACGGAAAACCGAUCCUCGACGUCGCGACGGGAAAACCUUCAACACCGUUCGAGCACGGGUCGCCCACGACGGCCGUUAAUCCAGGACUCAUCUACGAUCUAACAACGGAGGAUUAUAUAGAUUUCAUCUGCGCAUCGAAUUACAAUUCGUCGCUGAUCACAAUCAUAUCGAGAGGCAAUUACGCUUGUCCAAGAAAAACGCACCCCGCCGCUGAUCUAAACUAUCCGUCGUUCGCCGUUAACGUCAAAGGAUCCGGCACGUACAAGUACACCCGCACUGUCACAAACGUGGGAGGAGCUGGGUCAUACUCGGUUAAAGUAACGUCGGAGACAACGGCAGUCAAGAUUUCGGUUGAACCGCCGGUUUUGAAUUUCAAAGAAGUGAACGAGAAGAAAUCGUAUUCGGUGACGUUUACCGUUGUCUCAUCUAAGGCGCCAAGGUCUAACAGCUUCGGGAGCAUCGAAUGGUCAGAUGGAAAACACGUAGUGGCGAGUCCCGUGGCGAUUAGAUAGACAUAGGUGGUCAAUUAUGUCAAACUUGAGUAAGAAGAAAGCCACAGAUAUUGUAAUGCCGUUUAUCAUAAGAUCUCUGUUUAGCGAAAACGGCAUGCAGUCUGUUUUAUAAGUAAUUUCUCAUGAGACUUGAAUAUUUAAUGAAAAGUAAAAAUUGGUGACGACUAUGUUAGCUGGCUAGUGUCUUAUGACUAUUUUUAUUCGGAAAGGGCAUCUCCAAUAGUGCAUCAAAAUAAGGGAGAACAUACAAAAAUGAAGGAAAUCUAUUUCCAAUGUUACAUCAUUUUGAGAAAAAAAAAAUGAGUAUAUGAACGGUAUUCUUUCAAAUUUGAGGGAAUAUUAUUAAAAAUCUCAUUUUGAUGUUAAGUUUUUUUAUUUAUAUAAUGGUCAUUUACUAUUUGACAAUCUUUAUUUUAUGCAUAAAAAACAUUAACACUAAACAUAACUUUCAUAACUUUAUAUCAAUUAUGUAUAUACUGGUUAAACUUCUUAAAAUAUAAUUACCAAUAAUUAAUUAUUAAAAUAUAAUUUAUAAUUUUAUAGAUUAUAAUAUAUAAUUAAAAGAAAAUAAAAUAGAAAACAAUACCAUUAAGAUACAUAACUAAUACAAAGUUAAGAAAAACACAACAAACUUAAUACAACAUUUAACAAGAAUUGAGAGAGAAAAUGAAAAAAACCACUGGAGCAAAUCACAAACUCAUUUUAAAUUUAUUUCAUUUUGUAAGAAAAAAUGAUGGAAACCAUCGGAAAUGGUCUAAGUUUUGGACAUUGAAGAUACUAACAAUUAUUAAAUUAGUUUAUAAGAUAUGAAAUAUACUAGGCAUGCAUUACUAGUUCAUGACUGAUUUAAUGACUAAUCUUGAUUCACGUUGCAUGAAUGUGAACCACUCAACGUAGGAAACUAGACUUGUAAUUGUGAGGUUUGGUCAAAGUCCAUCAGACAUGUUCAAUGUUGGGCCGGCUUGCACAAGUUACGCGCGGAGAACAUAUGGACCUAAUCGUUGAAGCCCAUUAGGUCAAGUACUGAUACAAAUAAGGAAAGAUCACGACAGGGAUCUCCAAGCUCAAGCUGAGCCUCUAGGAGGUGAGAGCUUCCAUGGGGUCUCUUGGAGAGAUAGAGUAAGCUAGUGAUAGAUAUGUAAUCCUAGGCUUAGCUCUUAGCCAUGUACUUCUCUUGUAAUAUCUUUAUACUCUCUAGGGUUUGUAUACCCAGGACAGAGAGAGUAAUGAUCUUGUAAACCACAUCGGAGGUGUUUUCCGAUACUCCAUAGUGGAUGUUGUGGAUCCUGGAUCCGCCCCAAAUGUAGCGCGCUGCGGCCGUGAAAUGGGUGAACAAUUCUUGAGUCAUGAACAAGGAUGAAUCGUUUGAGUAGUGAAAGGGACAGAGGUAUUAUGAGCUUGUAUUCCGCAACAAGUGGGUAUCAUAACCCCCACAAGUGGUAUCAGAGCAUAUGAAUACCCCACAAGUGGUAUCAGAGCAUAGGCUCAUUGAUUCAUGGAGUCCACGUCUCGAGGAGGAGAGACAUAUGAAGAAGCUUCCAAGCGAGACAGAAGAAACUCGCAAGGUUUAAUGGAAGCUGGUGGUCACGUGGUUCUACACACGUGGAAUUCUGAUUAUGUUAAAAAUCAGAGGAUAAACCGAGUUACAAGAUCAGGUUAAAGAGAUUUUUGGUUUACAAGAGAANNNNNNNNNNNNNNNNNNNNNNNNNNNNNNNNNNNNNNNNNNNNNNNNNNNNNNNNNNNNNNNNNNNNNNNNNNNNNNNNNNNNNNNNNNNNNNNNNNNNNNNNNNNNNNNNNNNNNNNNNNNNNNNNNNNNNNNNNNNNNNNNNNNNNNNNNNNNNNNNNNNNNNNNNNNNNNNNNNNNNNNNNNNNNNNNNNNNNNNNNNNNNNNNNNNNNNNNNNNNNNNNNNNNNNNNNNNNNNNNNNNNNNNNNNNNNNNNNNNNNNNNNNNNNNNNNNNNNNNNNNNNNNNNNNNNNNNNNNNNNNNNNNNNNNNNNNNNNNNNNNNNNNNNNNNNNNNNNNNNNNNNNNNNNNNNNNNNNNNNNNNNNNNNNNNNNNNNNNNNNNNNNNNNNNNNNNNNNNNNNNNNNNNNNNNNNNNNNNNNNNNNNNNNNNNNNNNNNNNNNNNNNNNNNNNNNNNNNNNNNNNNNNNNNNNNNNNNNNNNNNNNNNNNNNNNNNNNNNNNNNNNNNNNNNNNNNNNNNNNNNNNNNNNNNNNNNNNNNNNNNNNNNNNNNNNNNNNNNNNNNNNNNNNNNNNNNNNNNNNNNNNNNNNNNNNNNNNNNNNNNNNNNNNNNNNNNNNNNNNNNNNNNNNNNNNNNNNNNNNNNNNNNNNNNNNNNNNNNNNNNNNNNNNNNNNNNNNNNNNNNNNNNNNNNNNNNNNNNNNNNNNNNNNNNNNNNNNNNNNNNNNNNNNNNNNNNNNNNNNNNNNNNNNNNNNNNNNNNNNNNNNNNNNNNNNNNNNNNNNNNNNNNNNNNNNNNNNNNNNNNNNNNNNNNNNNNNNNNNNNNNNNNNNNNNNNNNNNNNNNNGCGGGUCCGAGUCCUCUCUCAAGUCUGCCUCAGAAUCUGCUGAAAUGCUCUACACUUACAACAGCGCAAUACAUGGAUUCGCCACUCGGCUUACUCCCGAAGAAGCCGACUCCCUCAUGACCCAACCUGGUGUCAUCUCGGUUCGACAAGAGCAGCGGUACGAGUUACACACCACUCGGACUCCACUAUUCCUAGGUCUAGAUGUACACAACGGAGGCCUAUUCCCCGAAACCAGCACAUCUAGCAACCUUGUCAUUGGAGUUCUUGACACUGGUAUUUGGCCAGAGAGCAAAAGCUUCUCCGACGAAGGAUACGGUCCUAUUCCGUCGACAUGGAAAGGCGAAUGCGAGGCUGGGACUAACUUCACCGCUUCGCUCUGUAACCGCAAACUAGUAGGAGCUAGAUUCUUCGCUGGGGGUUACGAAGCAAGAGUGGGACCAGUCAACGAAUCCAUGGAAUCAAGAUCGCCUAGAGACGACGAAGGUCACGGAACACACACGGCGUCAACAGCAGCGGGAUCAGUCGUGGAAGGAGCUAAUCUUUUAGGGUUUGCUAAUGGAACGGCUCGUGGGAUUGCUUAUCGCGCUCGAGUGGCUGUUUACAAAGUUUGUUGGCAACCUGGUUGCUUCAGCUCAGAUAUUUUAGCUGGAAUGGAUAAAGCCAUCGAAGAUAAUGUCAACGUUCUGUCUAUAUCUCUCAGCGGUCCAAGGACAGAUUAUACAGACGAUAUUGCCGUUGGAGCAUUCGCGGCCAUGGAAAGAGGGAUCUUUGUUUCUUGCUCAGCUGGCAAUUUUGGUCCCAGCCCUUUCAGUGUAGCGAACAUAGCUCCGUGGAUUACUACGGUUGGUGCUGGUACUAUUGAUCGUGAUUUUCCCGCCCUUGCGAUUCUCGGCAAUGGGAAGAACUACACUGGAGUUUCGUUAUUUAAAGGAGAUGCACUUCCAGCUAAAAUGUUGCCAUUUAUUUACGCGGGGAAUGCUAGUAACAAUGCUACUUAUGGAAAUUUUUGUAUCUCCGGAACACUAAUUCCUGAGAAGGUAAAGGGGAAGAUCGUAAUGUGCGAUACAGGAGGAAAUCAAGCUAGGAAAGGGGAGGUGGUGAAAGCUGCUGGUGGACUCGGAAUGAUUCUAGCGAAUUUGGCAGAGGAAGGAGAAGAAGUUCAGGCGGAGGCUCACUUUUUACCGGCGACCGCUGUGGGAGAGAAAGCCGGUGACAUUAUCCGCCGCUACGUCUUGACCGAUCCGAAUCCAACGGCUUCAGUUGUGAUCCAAGGCACUGUCGUCCACGUCAAGCCCUCUCCUGUGCUUGCAGCAUUUAGCUCGCGAGGACCUAAUCCCAUAACGCCAAACAUUCUCAAACCGGACUUGAUUGCUCCGGGAGUCAAUAUCCUCGCCGCGUGGACCGGAGCUCUGGGUCCCACCGGACUAGCUUCCGAUACUCGCCGCGUGGAAUUCAACAUCAUCUCAGGAACGUCCAUGUCUUGCCCUCACGUGAGCGGUUUAGCGGCUCUUCUCAAGUCUGUGCAUCCCGAAUGGAGCCCGGCCGCGAUUCGAUCUGCUCUCAUGACCACCGCUUACAAUACCUACAAAGACGGCAAACGGAUCCGGGACAUCGCGACGGGGAAACCUUCUACGCCGUUCGAGCACGGUGCAGGACAUGUAUCGCCAACGAUCGCCGUCAAUCCAGGACUCAUCUACGAUCUAACGACGGUGGAUUAUUUAGAUUUCCUCUGCGCAUUGAAAUACAAUUCGUCGCUGAUCAGAAUCAUAUCGAGAGGCAAUUACACUUGCAACCCAAGCAAAAAUUACUCCGUCGCUGAUCUAAACUAUCCGUCGUUUGCCGUUAACGUCGACGGAUCCGACACGUACAAGUACACACGCACUGUCACAAACGUUGGAGGAGCUGGGUCGUACUCGGUUAAAGUAACGUCGGAGACAACGGCAGUCAAAAUUUCGGUUCAACCGGCGGUUUUGAAUUUCAAGGAAGUAAACGAGAAGAAAUCGUAUUCAGUGACGUUUACCGUUGACUCGUCUAAGCCGUCUGGGUCUAACAGCUUUGGGAGCAUUGAGUGGUCAGAUGGGAAACACGUGGUGGCUAGUCCGGUGGCUAUUAGCUGGACAUAGUAGUCAAUUACGACUACCUUGAGAAAGAAGAAAGUCACAUAUAUUGUAAUGUCGUUUUUCAUAAGAGCUCUGUUUAGCGAAAACAGCAUGCAGUCUGUUUUGUACGUAAUUUUUAUCACUAGACUUGAAUAUUUAAUGAAAAGUAAAAAAGUAUGGCUUUUGUUAAAAGCAAUUUCACCUAUUUACAUGAUUGUGAACCACUCUAAGUAGAAAACUAUCACUAAUCAAUUACCUCCAGUGUUUCAUAACAAUGUGACUGCAAUGAGUUUAAACAUAUUUUAAUCUAAUAACAUAAAUCACCAAUAAUAACAAGUUCAUCAGUAUGAGGUACUAAGGAGAGCAAUCGAAAUAACAAACUAUUUUUUUUAAUUGAAAUAACAAAAUGUUUGGCUUUUGUUAAAAGCGAGCAAUUUCACCUAUUUACAUUACACAAAUUUGCAGAGGAAAAUCCAAAAUAAAAGAAAAAGAUAAAAUUCAUGAAUACUGGCACUCGACUCAAAUUUAAUCAAGGUCCAAUUACAACUUGAUAUAGAAUUUUAUUUUCAAAAAUUUAAUAUAAAAAUAAGGACGUGAACAAGAGUCAAAAACCCACCGUGGCAUUAUCUAUCACUCAGGGACCAAUACAAUGGACCAACCUGCCAGCUUUUGAUGUUGCUACAAUUUUUAUUUUUCCUGGUUUAUAAAAAUAUAAACUAAAGUAAAAAGAAAAUCUGAAAAUGUAUCACUGUAAUGUUAGCUAUUUUUAUGUGAUUUUAGUUAGUUUGAUCUGAUAUUCAUGUCGUACCAUACAACCAAAGUCUCUAGUUGCCACUCACAUUAUUUGGAUCCAACCCUCAAAGCCCCAUAGAAUAUAUAUAUAUAUAUAUGGAAAGUAGUUCGUUACUUCGCUUUUGUCUUGUGAUGAGCCUUAAUGGACUUACAAUAUUCUUAAACCCUAAACCCUGAUUUUAAAACACCAAAGCAUUCAUGUCAGCCUAGAGAAUUUGCAGUAGAGAUUCAUACCAGAAAGCCGAGAGUAAGAUGGCAUCCCUUGGAGGAGGAUCUUCCGGAUUAACCGAUGGAUAGCUCACACUCAUUUGCUUCUCUUAUCAUAUAAAAUUUCGGGGAAACAAAUCAAGCGAUGAGUAUAGCUUAUUGAUCAUUUUCCUUUCAAAUACUCGUACACUUCAAAUCUAAUUCAAGUUCUUAUAAGGUAAAACUUUUCUGGCUAGAUUCCAGAAGGUAAACUUGUGUUCACACUUCACAGUCACCUAUAAACCAUCUUUAUAGUCUCAAACAAAUCACAGUCAGUAUAUCUAGUAUAGUAAUCAUUAAUCAGUGUAACUGGAUAAUUAUUUCAUGUCGAACAUAGUAAACUUAUGAGAACAAAAGUCUUUAUCUUUUGUCCUUGGUGAACAGAAGUCUACAAACAUUAAAAUUUACGAAAUAAAUUGAGAGAGAAAUCAAAAUGUGUGUGUGGAAAACCACUGUAACAUACAAACAAAAUAUACUCAAAAUUUUGAAUUUUGCAUUAGUACACACCACCAAAUAAUCUUCUAGAGAUAUGAACUAAGAGGCUAUAUUCACUUUAGUGUUAAAAGUUUUUGAACGUCAUUAUGGUUUUCUCGAUCCCCCAUGAUACUAUCAAACCUAUAAACCGUCUUUAUAGUCUAAAACAAGUCACAGUAAAUAUGAGGAUUAAAAACGUUAAUACUAAUCGGAAACACACAAUCUCAAGAUUAUAAUCUCGAGAUAAUACUAGAGUAUAGUAAUUAGUGUAAUUGGAUAAAUAUUAUUUCAAGUUGAACAUAGGUAAAAAUUAUGCGAACAAAAGUCUUUAUUUUUUGUCUUGGUGAGCAGAAGUCUACAGAGAUUAGAAUUUACGUAAAAACAAAAUUAAUCACUUUCGAAGCAGAAUAGUGGACAGGAGUCUAGUUGCCCAUUAUCUCUUUUUUUUUUUUUUUAAAAACACACUUGUCCAGUAUCUCCUCACUCUCUUUUUAUACUCUAUAUAAUCUCCCUCGCGUCUUUAACAUUUUCCGCACAAAUUAUAAAACAUGUCUUUUCUCUCCUCCACCGCUCUCUUCUUCUUUAUCGUUCUUCUUAAUCUGAGUUCUUUUCACGCCUCCGAUGGAGCUCAACAAGCUACUUACAUUGUUCACAUGGCGAAAUCUCAGAUGCCCUCGAGCUUCGACCACCACUCUCUCUGGUACGAUUCCUCACUCCGCUCAGUCUCAGAAUCCGCUGAAAUGAUCUACACCUACAACAAUGCGAUACAUGGAUUCGCCACUCGGCUUACUCCCGGAGAAGCCGACUCACUCAUGACCCAACCUGGUGUCAUCUCGGUUCAACAAGAGCAGAAGUACGAGUUACACACCACUCGAACUCCAUUAUUCCUUGGUCUCGACGGACAAAACGCAGGACUAUUCCCCGAAACCGGCGCCUCAAGCGACAUAGUCAUAGGAGUUCUGGACACCGGUAUUUGGCCAGAGAGCAAAAGCUUCUCUGAUGAAGGAUACGGUCCAAUUCCAUCUACAUGGAAAGGCGAAUGCCAGGCUGGGACUAACUUCACCGCUUCGCUGUGUAACCGCAAACUAAUCGGAGCUAGAUUCUUCUCUGACGGUUACGAAAGAGAUUAUGGAAAAAUCAACCAAGCCGACGAGUCGAAAUCGCCGAGAGACGACUUCGGUCAUGGAACACACACGGCGUCAACCGCGGCUGGAAACGUCGUGAAAGGAGCUAAUUAUUUAGGCUUUGCUAGUGGGACGGCUAGUGGGAUGGCUCAUCGCGUCCGAGUGUCUGUUUACAAAGUUUGUUGGAAAAGUGCUUGCGUGAGCUCAGAUAUUUUAGCUGGAAUGGAUAAAGCCAUCGAAGAUAAUGUCCACAUUAUGUCAUUAUCUAUCGGUGGUAAAUCGACAAGUUAUACAGGCGAAAUUUCCAUGGGUGCAUUCUCGGCCAUGGAAAGAGGGAUCUUUGUUUCCUGCUCUGCUGGUAAUGAUGGUCCCAGCCCAUCCAGCUUAUCAAACGCAGCUCCCUGGAUUACUACUGUUGGUGCUAGUAGUAUUGACCGUGAGUUUCCCGGGGUUGUGAUCCUCGGCAACGGAAAGAACUAUACUGGAGUUUCGUUGUUCAAUGGAAAUGCUCUUCCUGCUAAAUUGUUGCCGUUUGUUUAUGGAAAUUAUUGUAGCCGCGGAACACUAAAUCCUGAGAAGGUAAAGGGGAAGAUCGUGAUGUGCAUCAAAGAUGACAGUGUAAGGACUGAGAAAGGGGAGGUGGUGAAAGCUGCCGGUGGACUCGGAAUGAUUCUGGCAAAUGCAGCAGGGAGCGGAGAAGAAGUUCUGGCGGAUGCUCAUGUGUUACCUGUGACCGCCGUGGGACAGAAAGCCGGUGACAUUAUCCGUCGCUACGUCUUGACCGAUCCGAAUCCCACCGCUUCCAUUUUGAUCAGAGGAACGGUCGUGAACGUCCGGCCAUCUCCGAUGGUUGCCGCGUUUAGCUCGCGGGGACCUAAUACGAUAACGCCAAACAUUCUCAAACCGGAUUUGAUAGCUCCUGGAGUCAAUAUCCUCGCCGCAUGGACCGGAGCUCUGGGUCCCAGUGGACUCGGAACCACUUCCGAUACUCGUCGCGUGGAAUUCAACAUCAACUCGGGAACGUCCAUGUCUUGCCCUCACGUGAGCGGUUUAGCGGCUCUCCUCAAGUCUGUGCAUCCGGAAUGGAGCCCCGCGGCAAUUCGAUCGGCUCUCAUGACCACCGCUUACAAUACCUACAAAGACGGCAAACCGAUCCUCGACGUCGCGACGGGAAAACCUUCAACACCGUUCGAGCACGGUGCAGGACACGUGUCGCCCACGGCGGCCGUCAAUCCAGGACUCAUCUACGAUCUAACGACGGAGGAUUAUAUAGAUUUCAUCUGCGCAUCGAAUUAUAAUUCGUCGCUGAUCACAAUCAUAUCGAGAGGCAAUUACGCUUGUCCAAGAAAAACGCACCCCGCAGCUGAUCUAAACUAUCCGUCGUUCGCCGUUAACGUCAAAGGAUCCGGCACGUACAAGUACACCCGCACUGUCACAAACGUGGGAGGAGCUGGGUCAUACUCGGUUAAAGUAACGUCGGAGACAACGGCAGUCAAGAUUUCGGUUGAACCGGCGGUUUUGAAUUUCAAAGAAGUGAACGAGAAGAAAUCGUAUUCGGUAACGUUUACCGUUAUCUCAUCUAAGGCGCCAAUGUCUAACAGCUUCGGGAGCAUUGAAUGGUCAGAUGGGAAACACGUGGUGGCCAGUCCCGUGGCGAUUAGCUGGACAUAGGUGGUCCAUGAAGAAAUAUGGCGACUUGAGUAAGAAGAAAGCAACAGAUAUUGUAAUUUCUCAUGAGCCUUGGAUAUUUAAUGAAAAGUAAAAAAUUGGUAAGUACUAUUUUAGCUGGCUAGUGUGUUAUGAAUAUUCUUAUUUACUAGGCUGUGGACAUUGUAGAUACUGACAAUUAUUAGAUUAGUUUAUGAGAUAUGAAAUAUACUAGGCACUUGAUUCACGUUGCAUGAAUGUGAACCACUCAACGUAGGAAACUAUCACUAAUCAAAUACAUCUAGUGUAUCAUAACAAUGUGAUUACGAUGAGUUAAAAAAUAUGAAUCUAAUAACAUAGAGAAAAAGUAGAAACGACUCUAAGAGCUAAUCAUAACCAACUAGAGGUUUCAUUUCAAGAACCAACAAUAACAAGUUCAUAAACAUGAGGUAAUAAAAGAUAUCAAUCGAAAUAAAUACCUAUCUUCAAACAAACUAUAAAAAUGUAUGGCUUUUGUUAAAAGCAAACUCACCUCUUUCCAGUACACAAAUUUGCAGAGAAAAAUCCAAAAAAAAAAAGAAAAGGAUAAAACAAAUUCACGAAUAGUAACUCAAUUUUGAUCAACGUCCAAUUAAAACCCUGAUAUGUAAUUUUAUUUUCAGAAACCCAUCGUGGCAUUAUCACUCAGAGACUAAUACAAUUGGACCAACCUGCCAGCUUCUGAUGUUGCUAUAUUUUUAUUUUUUUUCUGUUUUAUAAAAAUAAAAACUAAUGUUAAAAGAGAGAAUGUAUCCCUGUAUUGUUAACUAUUGAUAUGAUUUAGUUAGUCUGAUCUGAUGUGAAGACAUGUUAAUUCAUACCAUACAAACCAAAGUCUCAAAUUGCCACCCACAUUAUUUGGAUCCCAACCGUCAAAAGCAUUGGUUAGUUGGUGUCUUCGACGAAACUCAUUGAGAUCUUUGCAAAGUAGUUCGUUUCUUUGCUUCUGUCUUGUGAUGAGCCUUAAAGAUAUUAAUAGACUCACAACUUACAUAAACCCUAAACCUGAUUUUAAAGUUGAGGAGGAUCAUGAACUUUAAAGAUAUUAAUAGACUCAUAACUUUGCUUCUGUUUUGUGAUAAGUUACAGCAGCCGGACUAGGAUCUUCCACCAAUGAACCGAUGCAUGGCUCACACUAAUUUGCUUCUCUUAUCUAAAACAAAUUUCGGGGAAAUAAAGCGAUGAGUAGAGCUUAUUGAUGAUUUCCUCACUCCGCUCAGUCUCAGAAUCCGCUGAAAUGAUCUACACCUACAACAAUGCGAUACAUGGAUUCGCCACUCGGCUUACUCCCGGAGAAGCCGACUCACUCAUGACCCAACCUGGUGUCAUCUCGGUUCAACAAGAGCAGAAGUACGAGUUACACACCACUCGAACUCCAUUAUUCCUUGGUCUCGACGGACAAAACGCAGGACUAUUCCCCGAAACCGGCGCCUCAAGCGACAUAGUCAUAGGAGUUCUGGACACCGGUAUUUGGCCAGAGAGCAAAAGCUUCUCUGAUGAAGGAUACGGUCCAAUUCCAUCUACAUGGAAAGGCGAAUGCCAGGCUGGGACUAACUUCACCGCUUCGCUGUGUAACCGCAAACUAAUCGGAGCUAGAUUCUUCUCUGACGGUUACGAAAGAGAUUAUGGAAAAAUCAACCAAGCCGACGAGUCGAAAUCGCCGAGAGACGACUUCGGUCAUGGAACACACACGGCGUCAACCGCGGCUGGAAACGUCGUGAAAGGAGCUAAUUAUUUAGGCUUUGCUAGUGGGACGGCUAGUGGGAUGGCUCAUCGCGUCCGAGUGUCUGUUUACAAAGUUUGUUGGAAAAGUGCUUGCGUGAGCUCAGAUAUUUUAGCUGGAAUGGAUAAAGCCAUCGAAGAUAAUGUCCACAUUAUGUCAUUAUCUAUCGGUGGUAAAUCGACAAGUUAUACAGGCGAAAUUUCCAUGGGUGCAUUCUCGGCCAUGGAAAGAGGGAUCUUUGUUUCCUGCUCUGCUGGUAAUGAUGGUCCCAGCCCAUCCAGCUUAUCAAACGCAGCUCCCUGGAUUACUACUGUUGGUGCUAGUAGUAUUGACCGUGAGUUUCCCGGGGUUGUGAUCCUCGGCAACGGAAAGAACUAUACUGGAGUUUCGUUGUUCAAUGGAAAUGCUCUUCCUGCUAAAUUGUUGCCGUUUGUUUAUGGAAAUUAUUGUAGCCGCGGAACACUAAAUCCUGAGAAGGUAAAGGGGAAGAUCGUGAUGUGCAUCAAAGAUGACAGUGUAAGGACUGAGAAAGGGGAGGUGGUGAAAGCUGCCGGUGGACUCGGAAUGAUUCUGGCAAAUGCAGCAGGGAGCGGAGAAGAAGUUCUGGCGGAUGCUCAUGUGUUACCUGUGACCGCCGUGGGACAGAAAGCCGGUGACAUUAUCCGUCGCUACGUCUUGACCGAUCCGAAUCCCACCGCUUCCAUUUUGAUCAGAGGAACGGUCGUGAACGUCCGGCCAUCUCCGAUGGUUGCCGCGUUUAGCUCGCGGGGACCUAAUACGAUAACGCCAAACAUUCUCAAACCGGAUUUGAUAGCUCCUGGAGUCAAUAUCCUCGCCGCAUGGACCGGAGCUCUGGGUCCCAGUGGACUCGGAACCACUUCCGAUACUCGUCGCGUGGAAUUCAACAUCAACUCGGGAACGUCCAUGUCUUGCCCUCACGUGAGCGGUUUAGCGGCUCUCCUCAAGUCUGUGCAUCCGGAAUGGAGCCCCGCGGCAAUUCGAUCGGCUCUCAUGACCACCGCUUACAAUACCUACAAAGACGGCAAACCGAUCCUCGACGUCGCGACGGGAAAACCUUCAACACCGUUCGAGCACGGUGCAGGACACGUGUCGCCCACGGCGGCCGUCAAUCCAGGACUCAUCUACGAUCUAACGACGGAGGAUUAUAUAGAUUUCAUCUGCGCAUCGAAUUAUAAUUCGUCGCUGAUCACAAUCAUAUCGAGAGGCAAUUACGCUUGUCCAAGAAAAACGCACCCCGCAGCUGAUCUAAACUAUCCGUCGUUCGCCGUUAACGUCAAAGGAUCCGGCACGUACAAGUACACCCGCACUGUCACAAACGUGGGAGGAGCUGGGUCAUACUCGGUUAAAGUAACGUCGGAGACAACGGCAGUCAAGAUUUCGGUUGAACCGGCGGUUUUGAAUUUCAAAGAAGUGAACGAGAAGAAAUCGUAUUCGGUAACGUUUACCGUUAUCUCAUCUAAGGCGCCAAUGUCUAACAGCUUCGGGAGCAUUGAAUGGUCAGAUGGGAAACACGUGGUGGCCAGUCCCGUGGCGAUUAGCUGGACAUAGGUGGUCCAUGAAGAAAUAUGGCGACUUGAGUAAGAAGAAAGCAACAGAUAUUGUAAUUUCUCAUGAGCCUUGGAUAUUUAAUGAAAAGUAAAAAAUUGGUAAGUACUAUUUUAGCUGGCUAGUGUGUUAUGAAUAUUCUUAUUUACUAGGCUGUGGACAUUGUAGAUACUGACAAUUAUUAGAUUAGUUUAUGAGAUAUGAAAUAUACUAGGCACUUGAUUCACGUUGCAUGAAUGUGAACCACUCAACGUAGGAAACUAUCACUAAUCAAAUACAUCUAGUGUAUCAUAACAAUGUGAUUACGAUGAGUUAAAAAAUAUGAAUCUAAUAACAUAGAGAAAAAGUAGAAACGACUCUAAGAGCUAAUCAUAACCAACUAGAGGUUUCAUUUCAAGAACCAACAAUAACAAGUUCAUAAACAUGAGGUAAUAAAAGAUAUCAAUCGAAAUAAAUACCUAUCUUCAAACAAACUAUAAAAAUGUAUGGCUUUUGUUAAAAGCAAACUCACCUCUUUCCAGUACACAAAUUUGCAGAGAAAAAUCCAAAAAAAAAAAGAAAAGGAUAAAACAAAUUCACGAAUAGUAACUCAAUUUUGAUCAACGUCCAAUUAAAACCCUGAUAUGUAAUUUUAUUUUCAGAAACCCAUCGUGGCAUUAUCACUCAGAGACUAAUACAAUUGGACCAACCUGCCAGCUUCUGAUGUUGCUAUAUUUUUAUUUUUUUUCUGUUUUAUAAAAAUAAAAACUAAUGUUAAAAGAGAGAAUGUAUCCCUGUAUUGUUAACUAUUGAUAUGAUUUAGUUAGUCUGAUCUGAUGUGAAGACAUGUUAAUUCAUACCAUACAAACCAAAGUCUCAAAUUGCCACCCACAUUAUUUGGAUCCCAACCGUCAAAAGCAUUGGUUAGUUGGUGUCUUCGACGAAACUCAUUGAGAUCUUUGCAAAGUAGUUCGUUUCUUUGCUUCUGUCUUGUGAUGAGCCUUAAAGAUAUUAAUAGACUCACAACUUACAUAAACCCUAAACCUGAUUUUAAAGUUGAGGAGGAUCAUGAACUUUAAAGAUAUUAAUAGACUCAUAACUUUGCUUCUGUUUUGUGAUAAGUUACAGCAGCCGGACUAGGAUCUUCCACCAAUGAACCGAUGCAUGGCUCACACUAAUUUGCUUCUCUUAUCUAAAACAAAUUUCGGGGAAAUAAAGCGAUGAGUAGAGCUUAUUGAUGAUUUUCCCUUUAGAAUCCUCUCACAUUUCAAAUAUAAUUUCAAAUUGUUAUAAGGUAAAACUUUUCUGGCUAGAUUCCAACUAGUAGUUUCGUUCAAAGGGAGAAAAUGAGAUCAAAUUAAAUCGUCUAAUAUUCACUUUGUUUUAAUGGUUUUUAUCCAACCUAUAAACCAUUUUUAUAGUCUCAAACAAGUCACAGUAAACAUCAAAAAGAACACAGGUAAACUUAUGUUCACAGUCACCUAUAAACUAUCUUUAUAGUCUCAAACAAGUCACAGCCAAUAUAUCCAGUAUAGUAAUCAGUGUGAUAUAUUAUUUGAUGUUGAACAUAGGUAAACUUCUCUGAACAAAAGUCUUUAUAUUUUGUCUUUGAACAGAAGUCUUCUAACAUUAAAAUUUACAAAAAGAACAAAAAUAAAUUUAGAGACAAAUCAAAACGGAAAGCAAAACUGAUCACUUUCAAAACAGAAUAGUGGACAGAAGAGUCUAAGAGCACCUCCAGUGCAUUACAUAACAUAAGUACACCACCAAAUAAUCUUCUAGUUAGAGAUAUGAAUUAAAAGGCUAUAUUCACUUAGUCUUAGAUUUUUAUCAAAACAUAUAAACCAUUUUUAUAGAGACUCAACAAGUUGUCAGCAUCAUAGUUAAAAUAUGUUAAUACUAAAUAGAAACAGAGAAUCUUAAAAUAAUAAAACAAUAAUAAUCUCGAGCUAAUACUGAAAUAUAAUAGUCAGUGUAAUUGAAUAUAUAUUAUUUCAUGUUGAACAUAGGUCAACUUAUGUGAACAAAAGUCUUUUAGGUUUUGUCCUCUUUGAAGAUAAGUCUAUAAACCUUAAAAAUUUACGGAAAAAAAAAACAAAAAAAAAAAUCAGAGAGAAAUCAAAAUGUGUGUGUGGAAAACCAACAUAACAUACAAACAAAAUAUACUUUAAAGGAAAUUGGAUUUUAUACAACUACACCAAGUAUAAUCUUCUAGAGUUAUAUAUUAAGGUUAUAUUCACUUAGUGUUAAUGUUUUUUGAACAUCAUAAAGGUCUUCUGAAUCCCUCAUGGCAUGAUGAUUUUAUCAAAACUAUAACCGAUCUUUAUCAUCUCAAACGAGUCACAGUAAAUAUCAGAAUUAAAGAGGUAAUACUAAACAAAAACAUAGAAUCUCAAGAAAAUAAACCAAUAAUUGUCUCGAGAUAAUACCAUAGUAUAGUAAAAAAAAUUGAUAAUCCGGAGUAUCCAAAUCCGAAAGACUAACUGAUUUUUUGGGGUCGAUCCACCGGCCACAGACAAGCUCGUUUACUCUAUAUGAGAGUUACAUAUCCAAGCCGCCUAAAUAUAUGCAGAUGAAUAAAUUUAAAUGGUAGGUUUUGGACUCGGGAUGCUCAGCACGUUUUCGAACCUGUCGUAUCACUCGAUAAUAUAUGUAUGGUUAAUUAUAGUAAUUAGUGUAAGUGGAUAUAUUAUUAUUUCAUGUUGAACAUAGUUAAUAUCAUGUGAACAAAAGUCUUUAUUUUUUGUCUUGAUGAACAAAGUCUACGAAGAUUAAAAUUUACCUAAAAACAAAAGUAAAUUUUAGAGAAGUCGAAAAGAAAAACGAAAGAGAUCACUUUAAAAGCAGAAUAGUGAACAAGAGUGUUAUAGUAAUAUCUCCUCACUCUCUUUCUCGACUCUAUAUAAACUCUCUCGCAUCUUCACAUUUUCCACACAACUUCACAAAACAUGUCUUCUUCGUUUGUCUCAUCCACUGCUUCUUUCUUCUUUAUCGUUCUUCUUUAUCACGGUUCCUUCCACGUCUCCGAUGGAGCUCAACAAGCUACAUUCAUUGUUCACAUGGCGAAAUAUCAGAUGCCCUCAAGCUUCGACCACCACUCUCUCUCUGGUACGAGUCCUCUCUCAAAUCCGUAUCAGAAUCUGCUGAAAUGCUCUACACUUACAACAAUGUAAUUCACGGAUUACUUCCGAAGAAGCUGACUCACUCAUGACCACCGCUUACAAUACCUACAAAGACGGACAACCGAUCAUUGACAUCGGGACGGUAAAACCUUCAACGCCGAUUGGGCACGGUGCAGGACACGUGUCACCGACGACGGCCAUCAGUCCAGGACUCAUCUACGAUCUAACGACUAAGUAUUAUAUAGAUUUCCUCUGCGCAUUGAAUUAUAAUUCGUCGCAGAUAAUAAAAGUAUCGAGAGGCAAUUACACUUGCGAUACAAGGAAAACUUACUCCGUUGCUUAUCUAAACUAUCCAUCGUUUGCCGUUAACGUCGACGGGUCCGACACGUACAAGUACACACGCACGGUCACAGCAGUUAAGAUUUCGGUUGAACCGCCGGAUUUGAUUUUCAAAGAAGUAAACGAGAAGAAAUCGUAUUCGGUAACGUUUACUGUUGACCCGUCGAAGCCGUCAGGGUCUAACAGCUUUGGCAGCAUCGAGUGGUCGGAUGGGAAACACGUGGUAGCCAGUCCAGUGGCAAUUAGCUGGACAUAGUAGUCAAUUACGACUAACUUGAGAAAGAAGAAAGUUACAGAUAUAAAAAAAAAAAAAGAAAGUUACAGAUAUUUAUAUGCCGUUUUCCAUAAGAACUCUGUUUAGCGAAAACGGCAUGAAGUCGGUUUUCUAGGUAAUAUAACAAGAGACUUGAAUAUUUAAUGAAAAGUAAAAAAAUGGUAACGACUAGUUUAGCUGGCUAGUGUGUUAUGACUUUUUUUAUUUACUAGGCUAUCGACAUUGUAAGAUACUGAAAAAUAAAAUGAACAAUAUCAAAUAAAAUAAUAAAGCAAAGAAAUAUCAUUAAAACGAAUCAGCUUAAUAUAUCUUAUUAAAUAAAGUUUACAUAUUCCACGUCACUCUGGAGAGGGGGAGUUUUCUUGCCACGUGUCGCCUCACCAAACAAACGAUUUCUGUGUAAUCCGGUCUUAUUCGAACUGGGCUUUUAUUAAAUUUUAUUAUUAAGCUCAAUAUUAUGUCAAGCUCACGUAUCAUUAGCUAUCUUCUUCCUUUCAAGCUUGCGACUUCCCCGAUGCAAUUUCCAGAAACUUAAAUCGAUGUUCCUAUCUCCGUAUCGUCUCAGCCUUCCAUUAAUCCGUUCUUAACUCAGAGUUUUUGCGUGUUUGAUCCACCCCUCUCACUGCAAAGUUUUGUUUUUGUUAGGGAAAAGGGAUGAAGUCAGAGCGUGCUGCCAAAUUGAUGCUAGAGGCGCUGCUUAUGCUGUUCCUGGCUCUCGCAAGACGGUGACUUGAGGUUCGGCUCCUUUGAAAUCUGUGUGUUCUUUGGUCGUUUAUAUUUUUAGUGCGUUAAGGUGUUAGUUUCUGCUUCUUGAGUUAGUUUUAAGCAAAGUGUUGAGUAUGGUACAACAAUCAAGCAUAAAAAAUCGUCGUUUUUCAGUAAAAUGAAAGUUAGAUUCUUUGAUGUGUGAAUCUGUGGCUAUGAUGUAUUAAAACAUAUUGGUUUGCAGGGAGAUAAUGUUACAAUGAAAUUAAGAUCGUAUGGAUAGUUGGAACCUCAUUUGCAGCUGAAGAAUAAGCAUGUCGGUUCAAGUUUCUUACACACAGCUCCUCAUAGAUGGAAACUUCGUCGACUCUGCUUCUGGUGAGUAAUAUUUUCAUUCAUAAACAUCGGAAUAACAAAGGAAAAUUUUGAAUUUUGAGAUUCAAGUUCCAUGAGCACUAAUGUUUGGUUUUGGAUUGGGAGUUUAAGUAAGACGUUCCCGACUCUUGAUCGACGCACAUGGAAAGUCAUUGUGAACGUAGCUGAAGGCGACACUGAAGAUAUCAACCAGGCGGUGAAAGCUGCAAGGAAGGCCAUUGAUGCGGACCUUGGCCAAAGAUGACCGUUGGAAUUCAUGGACCAUAGUCACCUACAAUGUGGUCACUGAAGCGUUCGGGAGAGAAGGAGCUUGAAAAAAUGGAAUAUUUAUUAAGGCUAAUGCAAUCAGAGAGAAUAAAACAGAGAUGCGUUCACCACUGUCAUUUUAUAAGGAUUUAUUAAAUAUAACUGAUUUUGAAGGGUACUUCUCAAAACUUUAUACUAAUCUCAGAUUAGUCUAUAAGUGAUUUAUAAACUGUACAAAUGAUUUAUUAACUUUUAUAAAAUAUUUAUAGAUCUUUAUAAAUUGUUAUGGACUCUUAUAAAAACUUUAUAGCUUCAAAUAAUGCAUCGAUAAGGUAGCCUUUAUGUUCUUAACAACAAAAAAUACAUUAUUUGUCUUCUACCAUGAUGCAAUCAUAUCUCACUUUUUUUAAAAGGGCAACCGCCUCGACACAAAUAGCAACUACAAUAUUAAAUUUUCAAAUUAAUCAAAAUGGCUAGUUAUAAAUGUCCAUAAAUAAAUUACAACAAUAGCGGUUUCAAAUCAGCAAUGGAACUAUUAUGCUCUCUUAUUUGCGAUCAUAUUUUCUAUUUCUACUGCAUUGAUCAAUGGCUUCGUACCGAUAAAAGUUGUUCCAUAUAUAAGAAAAGUCAUCUAUAUUUCAGAAUUAUUACAAUUUAUAAAGGAGUUUCUUAUGUUCCAAUUUUUAGUUUUAUUUACAUACUGUUUUUUUAAUUUUCGUUUUAAUUUUCAAACAAAAUAUUUUCUCAUUUCCUAAUAUGUUCCAUUGUCAGAAUAGGUUUCUUAUCAAAAAUCAAAUAAGAAGAAUAUAUAUAAAAAAAAAUUCAUUAUAUACGUUUAAAUAAAACAUCAAAUUUACUUUAUGUUUAAAUUUUAAUUAAAUUAACUAUGUAACGACUAUCAAUUUUUUACUCUACUUUUAUUGAAUCGAUUAGUCACAACCACUUAUGCUAUUAUACUUUGAAAUAAGCAAUUUCAAAACAAAUUAAUACAUUACGGUCGUUAACCACUGGACCAGAAAAUAUAUAAUUUUCUUUCAACAAAUUUCUGUUUUCAUAUUUUUGAACAUAUUUUCUUUACUAAAACCAUAAAAUGAAUUGUAAAUUCAUGUAAAAAUAAAACACACGAACCCCGGCGCUUACCACUAGUAUAUAUAUAUAUACACUUAAAAAGUCAUUUUUUUAAUUUGUGUGGGUCUAAGCCAAAGUUGGAAUAUUUUUGCUGUGGUUUUGGAUUCACUAGUUGCCUAGUUGCCAACGUUUUUAGUGGCAGAAAACUCAGGCUUUUAUAAAUUUAGUUGAAUUAUUCUGAUUUUGUCCAGAAAAUUUAACUAGAAAAACAAAUUUUGAAGAAAACUGUUUAAUAAUUUUGAUCUGAGAUUUGGGCUACAUAUAUAUUAUGUGCAUAUGUUCUUUUAUUUUUGAAACUUAUGCGCAUGUGUUCUUUAAAAGGUGAAAUCGAUAGCUCUCUUUCUUUAUCUACUUGAGAGUAUAAUUCUUAAUACUAACUAGAAGAGGGUAAAAAUAGUGAUAUGUGUGUUUUUGGGGUAUGCAAUGCAUUUAACUUUGGCUAUCGAGUCCAAAUAAAUAUAUAUAUAUAUAUAUACUAUCUAUUUGGGAAGUCAACAAAAAAUAAUUAACAAAAAUUGUCGUAGAAAUAAAAAAAUUAAGGGGAAUUUGUCAAAUAUAACUCAAAACUUGAUUUUAACCCCCAAAAUAUCACAAACUUGAAUCAAAUGCAAAAGUAACCCAAAAAGUUUGUGAAAUUACAACCAGCCCCCUAUGGUCAAAAAAAAAACCAUAAUUCACUUUUACGAAUAUAAUCUCGUAAAGUCUUCUGAGAUUUUGUAAGUCCUCUAUGGUUCUGUAAGUUUUCUGGAAGUCUUUUCAUAUAGUAGACCUUAAAAAUAAGGGAGAAUUGCCAAGUGUGACUCAAAACUUGGAGUCAAACCCAAAACAAUACCCCAACUUGGGUCAAACGCAAAAGUAACCUAAAAGGCUAUUGAAAUUACAACUAUCCCCUUGUGACCAAACAAAAAAACGGAAUUUUUUUUACGUUUCUACCCCUCGCAAGUCGUCUGUUUAGACGACUUGAAAAUAAGUCGUCCAGACGACUUAACUGAAAGUCGUCUGGACAGUUAGUCUUAAACAUAAUUUAAAAAUUUUGUAAAAAAUAUUUUGAUAAGUGAAAAAUGGGAAUUAUGUAAUUAACAUAUGUCUUAGGAGGUAUAAAUUAAGAUAUAACAAAUUUCAAUUGUUUUCAGCAUAGAUGAGUGAAAGUAGUGAGUCAUGAUAUUCUUUAGUUUAUGUUUCAUCAACAUAUGUUGUAGUAUUGUAUGUGUUCUUAGGGUUAGAUUUUGGAAAGCAUUAAAACCGUUUUUGAAAAUUUUUAAAAUUACUUAUCCGUGUUCAUUUCUGUGUAUAGUAAACACUAUUUAAGUAUAAUUUGAUUUUAUAACGUGGUUAGUUAGUUAAUCUAGUCAUUUUAGUUUAGGGGUUCAUUUUAGGGUCUAGGACGACUUAAUAUUUUGUCGUCUGAAAACAGACGACUAAAUAUUAAGUCGUCUGUUGUACAUUAUCAGCCAGAAUAAGUCGUCUAAACCGGACCAAACCUUAAAGUUUACCAAUGUACUUUUAAAGCUAACCGGAUUAUUUACCCAAUAUAUAAGGUGAUUUUUUUUUUUUUUGUUUCAUUUUUCGCGAAAUUCAGAAACCCUAACAGUUCUCUCUCAAAGGCGAUUUCGAAUUCCCACGAUUUCCGAACAAACCAUCGUUCUCAACGUCGGCUAUCUAUCUCACUUCAUUCUCACCGUUGUCGCCGCAGCUUCUUCUAACCCUAGCGCCGCCGAUUCCUCUAAACCCUAGCGCCGCCGAUUCCUCUAAACCCUAGCGCCGCCGCUUCCACUAUUUCCGAACAAACCGUCGCCCUCGCCACCGUGGUCACCAACGUUCUCACCGCCGCUUCCUCUAAACACUAGCGCCGCCGCUUCUUCUAAACCCUAGCGCCGCCGCUUCUUCUCUGUAAACCUUAGCGCCGUUUCUCUGUAAACCCUAACGCCGCUAAGUCAUCAAUCUCGAGGAAAAGAUGAACAUAAAACGUUGUCUCUAUCAAUUUACUCAUUCUCACCGUUUCACGUUUAUUUUUUCAGAUCUAUAACCGCAAUGACGAGUACUCCAACUCCUUCUGCGACUGGAAGACUUGUAAGUAAUUUAAGUCGUCCGGCUUUGUCUUCCAACUGGACGACUUAGUAGAUGACUUAAAUAUAAGUCGUCCAUUUGGAAGACUUUCCAGACGACUUAAAUUUAAGUCGUCUACUAAGUCGUCUGGACUUAUAUUGUUGUCUUUGAUUAUUUUGCAGACAAAAAGGAUGGAUAUUCCAGAACUCCCCCGUAGGUUAUACACAUCAGGGGAAGAGCCAGAAGCCCACAAUAGCAUUUCGUAUCAUACGGAUAACAGCAAGUUGCAUACUGCUCUUAGGAAAGCUCUUACUGAUGACGAAUUUGAAGAGCUCAAGGAGUCGAGUUUGGGAGUUUUCAUCAAGUUCAAGGAGCAGGGAUUUGGUUGGGCUUCAAGGCUGGUUCACUACAUGCUCAGUUUCAAGCUGGACAUUAAGAAGAAGUAUGAGAUGUGGUCUCUCGUUGGUCCAGAACCUUUGAGGUUUUCACUGUUAGAGUUUGAAAACCUCACUGGUCUAAACUGCGAGUACAUCGAGGACCUUGAGACACCAAAAUGUGACGUUACCCCAGAGAUGGUUUCUUUCUGGGGGAUGCUGGGAGUUCAUCUGGAAGCUGGGCCAACUACUGAUCAGAUAAUAGCAGCACUGAAGAGAUGCGGGGAUUGGUCCAGGGAAGAUCGCAAGCGGCUCGCGUACCUCUCCAUCUUCACUGGAUUCAUUGAAGGGAGAAAGUUUUCAACCGCUACACGAUCUACUCUGGCAAGGCUAGUGAUGGAUUUAGAACGGUUUGAGAAUUAUCCAUGGGGGAGAGUCGCGUUUAAGGUGCUGAUGGACUCUUUGUGGAACAAAGAAAUUGCUGGCUGUUACACCGUGGAUGGGUUUAUACAAGUUCUUCAAGUCUGGACGUACACAGCUAUGCCGGAAUUGGGUGCUAGUAUUGGUGGUCCCAGAGCAGACAGUCCGUCUCCACCGAUACUGGCUUACGAGGGCAGCAGAGGCCGCAGAUCAAUGAAAGCUGCUAUCUUGAGUCAGGUAUUUACUUCAAUCCAAAAGACUGCGCAGACGACUUAUUAUAAGUCGUCUGGAAGGUCGUCCAGCUUGACGACUUAUUAGACGACUUAUAAUAAGUCGUCUGGAAAGUCUUCCCAGCUGGACGACUUAUCGGACGACUUAAUUAAGUCGUCUGGAAAGUCUUCCAUCUGGACGACUUAUUAGACGACUUAUAAUAAGUCGUCUGGAAAGUCUUCCCAGCUGGACGACUUAUCGGACGACUUAAUUAAGUCGUCUGGAAAGUCUUCCAUCUGGACGACUUAUUAGACGACUUAUUAUAAGUCGUCUGGAAGGUCUUCCAUCUGGACGACUUAUUAGACGACUUAUAAUAAGGCGUCUGGAAAGUCUUCCCAGCUGGACGACUUAUCGGACGACUUAAUUAAGUCGUCUGGAAAGUCUUCCAUCUGGACGACUUAUUAGACGACUUAUUAUAAGUCGUCUGGAAGGUCUUCCAGCUGGACGACUUAGUAGACGACUUAUAAUUAAGUCGUCUAUUUAGUAUUUUUUUUCAAAUAUCUAACUCGAUUCUUCUAUUUACUGCAGACCCGCGUGAUCAACUUUGUUGAGAAGGACAUUAGUGAAAUGUGGCCAAAAUGGGACUCUGAGGUUGAGGACCUGCCCGCGGAGAACAUCAUUAAAGUCAUGUAUGAGCGGAGACCGUGGAAGUGGACCAUGGAUUGCUGGGAAGUCACUGGUACUAAGGUCAAUACAAAACCUAAGGUUGUGACUCCAUCGAAGAAGGCCAAAGAGAUGGUUGUGGUGUAGGAGGAGGAGGAGGAGGAGGAAGACAAUCCAAGACCUCGGAAGAAAGCUCGUAAAGAGGCUCCUAAAGAGGCUAGUGAAGAGGCUAGAGAAGAGGCUAGAGGGGUGACCAGAGAGGAGUUGGAAAUUAUGUUCAAGGGCGUAGCUGACUGCAUGAAAAAAGGGUUUAAUAAGUGCAUGAGGGAGUUUAGGAAGUUGUCCGAUAGAUUGGAAGCUGUGGAGAAGAAGGUUGGUGUCACCAAUCAGGCUACCCCUCCACCUCUAACCAAUCAGGCUACCCCUCAAGAUAAACAGCCUACCCCUCUUGCCAAAGAAACCGGGGGUAGAAACAAACAGGCUACCCCUCAUGCCAAUGAAACCGUGGUUAGUAACCAGCCUCCUCCUCAUCAAACCAAACAGCAGCCUCCUCCUCCUCAAAAGAAACAGCAGCAGCCUCCUCCUCCUCAAAAGAAACAGCCUCCUCCUCAAAAGAAACAGCCUCCUCAAAUCAAAGAGGUUAGUAUCAAAUCCAGGGUUAACUAGUUGUCCAGACGACUGUAAAAGUUGUCUGGACGACUAGUUGACCCUGGACGACUUAAACGUAAGUUGUCUGGACGACUAGUUGACCACGGAAGACUUAAUUUUAAGUCGUCCAGGGUCAACUAGUCGUCCAGACAACUUUUAUUUAAGUCGUCCAGGGUUAACUUGUGUGCAACUUUUAUUGCAGAGAUGGUUGCCGGAGGAUACAGCAACCGAGGCGAACUCGGUAAAUAAGAUCUUGCCGGAGGAUAAAGCAGAUGGUGUCACCUCCAAAGAGAUUGUUGCUGUCACUUCCACCGAUCACCAACCGAGCCUCGCUUCCACCGAUCAACAACCGAGCCUCGCUUCCACCGAGCCAAGCGAUCCAGUUUCAGAACCGAGCCUGGUUGUAUUGGACAAGCGUGCAAAGAGUAAACGAGCGAAGAAACCUGCUCCCACUGUGAGAUCUCCUUAUACGGCAGAGAAAAAAAAAGAUAAAGUGGCAGCCUAUAAUCCAUUUCCGCCAGUAAACAAAGAUAAGUUGAAGGAACUCGCUGAUUGGUUGAAAACUGAUCCGUAAGUGAUUGCUUUACCCAUAAUAGCUUGAUUUAGUCGUCCAAAACUGAUUGCUUUUUUGUUUGCAGUCAUUAUUUAACUAAGACCGAGGACAAACCACGUACAUCACCAACAAGGUGGUACCACUUCCUCCGGACAGCCAGAGGAUGGCUGGAAGACUGCGUAAGUCUUCUGCACACGAUUUAAGUCGUCUACAAAGUCGUCCAAGUAGACUACUUUCCAGACGACUUAAAGAUAAAUCGUCUGGAAAGUCGUCUACUUGGACGACCACGUAGACGACUUAAAUAUAAGUCGUCUUCGUCUGGUAACUUCUAACUUGUUAUAUUUAAUAUGCAGCAUAUAGAUGCUUGGAUUAAUGUGCUAAGGCAGAGGUAUCAGGAGAACCCACAAGCUUUCAGGAGCGAGCGAAUGUGCUUCCUGGAUCACAACUUUUCUCAGUCUUGGAGAGAGCAGUAUCAGCUCUUCAAAACAUCGGAACCUGAUCACAAAGGUUUAGGAAGAGUUCUACCUGGUGGGGCGUCGUAUUUUUAUGACGGAUCAAUACCUUCAUUUUGCCAAUCAAACAAGAAGUGGGGGGAGGACAUUGAUGAUAUCUAUGCGCCAGUGAACUUGGACGACAAGCAUUGGGUUGCUAUUUGGAUAUCGAUCCCUAAGAGGCACAUAGUCGUCUGGGACAGCAUACCUUCAUCUAGUGUACCAGACGCAUGGGAUGCGAUAAUGGAGCCUUUUCUCCAGAUGGUCCCUUAUCUGCUUGUUGAGUGCGCAGCCACCGACGAAAUGCGGGUCAAAUACGGGUUGGAGCCAUACACAUAUGAGAGACCUCUGAAAGGUGUACCCACGGCCAACAAUGGUGAUUGUGGCGUGUACACUGUAAAGUACAUUGAAUGUCAUGCGCUCGGGGGCUCCUUUGACCCUAAAGACUUUGCUAGGUGCAACGCGAAGAAAAUGAGGGAUAAUAUGGCGGUGGAUAUAUGGAAGGAGCUUGUUGAUCAGCAUCUGAAAGAAAAUGUGGAUGGUGAUAAGUUCGUGGGCAUGUAUGAUUAGAUUUGUAUUUGAACAUGAUUUUUUAACAUGAGUUUUGUAUUUGAACAUGAUUUUUUAACAUGAUUUUUGUAUUUGAACAUGAUUUUUUAACAUGAUUUUUGUAUUUGAACAUGAUUUUUUAACAUGAUUUUUGUAUUUGAACAUGAUAUAAGUUGUCUGGAAGAAAUAAGUCGUCUGGAAGGUUUUCCAACUGGACGACUUACAAAUAAGUCGUCUAGAAGGUUUGGACGACUUAUUAUAAGUCGUCUGGAAGGUUUUCCAACUGGACGACUUACAAAUAAGUCGUCUAGAAGGUUUGGACGACUUGAAGGGAUAGUAGAAGGUCGUCUAAAAAUAAAAUACACUUGAAGGGAUAGUAGAAGGUCGUCUAAAAAUAAAAUACACUGGACGACUUAGUAGAAGGUCGUCUAAAAAUAAAAUACACUUGAAGGGAUAGUAGAAGGUCGUCUAAAAAUAAAAUACACUGGACGACUUAGUAGAAGGUCGUCUAAAAAUAAAAUACACUGGACGACUAAAAAUUUAGUCGUCUGGACGGGUAAUCAAGACUGGACGACUUAAAUUUAGGUCGUCUGGACAACUAGUCAACUGGUUGUGUACAUUGUGGUUUCGUAUGGCCAGUUUCCUUGCAGUUUGAGCAUCUCCGUGCCCUGUGUUUCUUCCUGGGUUUGUGUCCUCUCAUCCUAGAUAGCUCCAACCAAGAUUGCCAUCUUGAUUUCUUCGGUCUCCCCCGACCACGCUUUAGUUCUGGAGGAAAGCAUUCUCGUUCCUCAAUAUGUUGUGACACGAUAGGAUAUAUAUUCUCUGAGUAUCCUGCAUACAGAUAAUUCUUUGAGUACAGUGGACAUACAAGUGUGGAGAUAUGCAAACCAGCAUGUAUUCCAGCAGCUAUAGCAUGAGAGCAAGGUAUUUUCUCCACUCCAUAGACACCACAAUCACACUUUGCAUGUUCCAAAUCAACCACACAGUCCAUUUUGCCACCUUUGACAAAGAAAUGCCAUCCAUCAAUUGGUUCAACCGUCAUCGUACCCGCUAUCUCUUCUCGAACAGCAAGCAAGUAUUCAACACCCCCGCUAUGUUCAGUUGUGAGACUCAAAGCAUCUUGUCUCCUUUUCCAAUACCAUUUUCCUAACUUCUGCCUUAUGAACUCCAGCAGGAACGUAAUCGGAAAUCCUCUUGCUCGCUUCAGUGCGGAAUUAAUAGAUUCAGCAAUGUUGCUUGUUUUUAUGUUGAACCUGUUCCCCUUACAAUAAACCCUUGACCAUAGCCUGACGUCGGCUUUCUCCAAAUACGUUGCAAGUUCCGGGUUUGCACUCCGUAUCUCAGCCAUGUACCGGUCAAAAUCGUAAACCGUGUGAGCAUAAGCAGCCCCUUUCACCAAGUACAUGAGAUGUUUCCCUUUAAACUUUUUGACAAUGUUAUCUUGAAGGUGAUAAUAACAUAUUCCUCGGGUUGCCCAAGGAAACACCUUAUCACACGCACUUUUAAUGGCCUUGUGCCGGUCGGAGACUAUCACCAGAGGCUUGUCAUGAGAUAUACAACUAGCCAAUUUUGUGAAAAACCAUUCCCAAGAAGGUAUAUCUUCCUCAUCCACGAUCCCAAAAGCCAAUGGGAAUAUCUGAAAAUUGCCAUCUUGUGCGGCUGCAACUAACAUAGUUCCUCCAUACUUUCCACUUAGGUGAGUUCCAUCCACCACAAUGACCCUUCUCUGAUACUUAAAACCUUUGAUAGAAGCUCCAAAAGAGAGAAAUAGAUACUUAAAUCUUUUCAUAGAAUCAAGUUCUAUCGCCGUGAUAGAAUCAGGAUUUGCAAUGGAGAUUUGCUCGAGAUAUGAUGCCAGACGCGAAUACCCUUCUUCUGCUGAUCCUCUCACCAAUCUUUGUGCAUAUAACAGUGCUCUGUAUGAAGUGGUGUAAUCAAGCGCCAUGCCAAACAUGUUCCUCAUUGCAUCAGUGAUAUGCUGCGGAGUUAUCCCAUCAAUGAUUCCAACACGAUCAAUGAAAAGACUACCUACAUACUUCGGAGUACAGUGUCUCCGCUGAGCGAUUCGGUCUCCCGCUGAGCAUAAAUGUUUUUCCACAUACUUUGUUACCCAAAACGUGUUUGUCCCAUGUUUGACACUCGCUCUGACCUUCCAUCCACAAUAGCUAACCGGACAUGUUGCCACAACGAGAGUUUUCGUUGAUUUGUAUAAUCUGAAAGAAAACUUACCCCUCACUGCUGCCAACCGCAGCUCUGAAAGCAGUGCACCCUUGCUAACAAAACUCUGGUUGACAUAGAUACUGGUACCAUUCGAUUUUCCUCCUUCAAUAGCAUUUGUCUUAGCAUAUGUCUUUUGGAUUUCUUCAAAACAAAUAUUAUCAUCAUCUUCCUCGUCCUCAUCUGGAACCUUUCCAUAAAGACUGUAAUCCCCACCAUUCUGAUCCGUUUCACCAACAAUAGAAUUAUCAGCAUCCUCCUCCCCAUUUUCCUCCUCCCCAUCUUGAUUUUCAUCUUCAACAAACUCAUUAUCACCAACAUCUUCAAAACAUUCAUCAGCUUCAUCAUCAUCACCAACAUCUUCUUCCCAUUCACCAGCUUCAUCAUCAUCACCAACAUCUUCUUCCCAUUCACCAGCUUCAUCAUUAUCACCAACAUCUUUUUCCCAUUCACCAGCUUCAUCAAUAUCCCUUUUCUCUGAAACCGUUUCGACCUUGCUGCGGCUUGAUACACAAAGACAUACUCUAUGGGUUUUGAGUAUCUCCAGCAAGUUUCGAACUUGUCUAUCACUUGUAACAUGAAUGGGAAGACUGCCUGGAGCCAUCAUCAUUUCUGCUGGUAAUGAGUAGCUAAUCUCCACACUCACUGUUCUCAUGUCCAGGUUAUAAUCUUCUUGAGCCAUUGCAACAAGUUCAGCAUGUGUUGAAUCUUCAUUCAAUAAAAACAAUCUUGCUCCUUUGAGAUCAUCAACCACAAAAUCCCAACGGAAAUCUCUCAACAACCAUUCUCCAUACACUGCAUGUAACUGAAAAAUCAUCUGCAAAUAUUCAAAAUAAAACACAUUAGUAAACAUAGAGAAAAUGAAGAAGUUCAAUAAACAUUGCCGCAGACGACUUAGCAUUAAGUCGUCCAGAAGACUUAAAGGUAAGUCGUCUAAAGAGGUCACUUUUGCAAUUGAAAAUUAAAAGGGACGACUUAAUUCUAAGUCGUCCGGCUUUGUUUGUUAAAAAAAAAACUUCAGACGACUUAUAUAUAAGUCGUCUACGAGAAACGGGCUAGUUUUGCAUUUGACCGAAUCGUGUCAGAUCUUUGACUAUUUCUGGACGACUUAUAAUUCAGUCGUCUCUGGGAAAGUUAAAAUUUCAAUAUUUUAUGAAAACUUGACGACUUACGUGUAAGUCGUCCUAGGUUAGUUUUGUAAUUGAAAAAUAAAACUUGAAAUUUAACUUUCUCCAGACGACUUAGAUGAAAGUCGUCCAGCUAAACGACUUAAUUUAAGGUCGUCCGGGAUAAGCAAGGUUUGACCAGAAAAUUGGGAAAAAUUCUGGACGACUUCGCUUUCCCCGGACGACUUUAAAUUAAGUCUUCUGGAGGGACGACUUUAUAUUAAGUCGUCUGGUUAAAGUUAAAUUAUGAAGUUUUAUUUUUCAAUUACAAAACUAACCUAGGACGACUUACACGUAAGUCGUCAAGUUUUCAUAAAAUAUUGAAAUUUUAACUUUCCCAGAGACGACUGAAUUAUAAGUCGUCCAGAAAUAGUCAAAGAUCUGACACGAUUCGGUCAAAUGCAAAACUAGCCCGUUUCUCGUAGACGACGUAUAUAUAAGUCGUCUGGAGUGUUUUUUUUUAACAAACAAAGCUGGACGACUUAAUUUAAGUCGUCCGUUUGACCAGAAGACUCAUCAGUAAGUCUUCUACAUACAGAUGACUUACUAGUAAGUCUUCUACGCGAACAGAUCUUGAAAAAAAAUUCAAAUUCGUACCUUAAACUAGGUGAGAUGACUUUGUUUGCACACAAGGUCUUCUCCAACCACCCAGAACCUCAAACGAAAGCAACCGUAAGUCAAAACGAAAGAAAUAUGGCUCUGUCAACCAUAGCCCAUAUUUUGAAUCAAAAGCUUGAGUUUUUUGGAUGAAUAUAGAGAGAAAGUGAAAGAAAUGUUGUUUUUAGUUCAUAACAAUUGAAACAGAGAGAGUGUAAAGAGAUUUACGUGCAUUAAAGGGCAAUAAAAGCUCCAAACAGUUCGUACAAGGUUGUUGCCACUAUUCAUUGCAGUGGCAAUAUUGUAAAUACUUGAAGAAGAUGAGGUUGAGACAGUAAAGAAGCCAUUUUUGAAAAAAAAAAAAAAAAAUGUUAAUGGCAUUUUCGUAGAUAAAAUGCAGGUGUGGGGUUAAAAUCUCAAAAAAAAAAGGAGUCAAAAGAAAAGGUUAGUUUUCUGUUUGACUCCAAGUUUUGAGUCACUUUUGCAAAAAGCCCUAAAAAUAAUUUAUAAAUUUUGUAAAAACUAUUUUGUUAGAGAAAAAAUUGAAAUCAUGUAACUAUAAACAUUUGUAAGUGAUAUAAACUAAAAUAUAAUAAAAUUGAAUUGUUUUUAAUAUAGAUGAGUGAAAAUAGUGAGUCAUGAUAUUCUUUGGUUUAAGGUUUGACAACAUAUGUUGUAGUAUUGUAUGUAUUCUUAGAGUUAGAUUUUGGAAACUUAAUAUUUUUUGGAAAAAUUAAAUUUUGACAUAUACAUAUUUAGUUUUUAUAUAUUAAAUAUUUUUUAAAUUUAAUGAAAUGUUUGUUUCUAUUUAAUUAGUUAUUUGAGUUUAAGAUUUAUAUUUAGUGUCUAGACGACUUCCACAAAGUCUUCUCUGAAAAUCUUAUAACUCCCGCUAAAAAUAUUUUACUUUCCCGCUAAAAAUAUUUUAGUUUCUAGAAGACUUAAUUGAAAUUCUUCUAGGAAGUUUUCUAUUAGAAGACUUAAAUCGAAAAAAAUUAACCUUAUUAGAAUUUUUGUCUCCCUUUAUAAAGAAAAUUUACACAUUCUCUAUUUUCCUCUCAAAAGACUGCAACAAAAAUGUUAUGUUUCUUAUUCUAAAACUUUCAAACCUCUCUCUAAUCUCUUUGAACUUAAAAAUACCAAACUUUAUAUCAAUUUAUAGUUAUUUCAUGUUUCUUAUUGAUUUAUUUUGUUUUUGCAGAUUUUUCAUUUCAUGGUUCUUAUCUUCCACUCUUUUAAGGGUAGAUCUAUAAAUCUUAUUUUUCUUAUUUGGUAACCUAUUGUUGCUUAAAGAUUUUACCUUUUGAAAACUCUUUUGGUUAUUUUAAAUUCGUACUUUAUUUUUGAAGUUUUUCUAUGUUUUGAACUUUUGGAUAUGCAGGUUUUUUCAGAGCUGAGACAGACAUGGAAGACUUCCAUGGAAGACUUCCAGGGAAGACUUCUCGGAAGUCUUCUACCAUUUAAUGCACUAGAAGAUUUCCUGGAAGUCUUCUGGCGGAAUCUUCUCCCAUGUCUCCUCGUUCAUUUCAGAUAUGAGUGUUUUGGUAAGUAUAUAUGUCUAGAUUUUUCUUCAUUUGGUAACCUCUGGUUGCUUAAACCUUUUAUAUUUUUUACAAUUUAUCAUUUUUUUUGUAAACACCAAACUUUAUAUCAAUUUAUCAUUUUUUGUCUCAUGUCAUUCUCACUAAUUCAUCUUGUUUUGUAGAUUUUUCAUUACAUGGUUCUCAUCUUCCACUCCGUUAAAGGUAAAUCUAUAAAUCAUAUUUUCUUAUUUGGUAAUCUCUUGUUGAUUAAAGCUCUUUCUUUUUGAAAAUUCUUUUGGUUGUUUCAAGCUUUUACCUUAUUUUUGAAGUUUUUAUAUGUUUUGAAGACAUUUGAAUGGUUUUGGAUAUGCAUGUUUUUUAGAUCUAAGACAUAUUUCCUUAAAAAAUCUUCCAAGUCUUCUCGGAAAUCUUCUAACAUUUAAUGUACUAGACGACUUCCUGCAAGUCUUCUGGAAGUCUUCUGACAAAGUUUUCUCCCAUAUCAAGUGGAGUCUAAGCUUGUCUUUGUGGAGGAAUGGGAUAUAAUAGUUUUAUUUAUGGUAUGUUUUGUAAUUUGUAUGUAUACUCUUUUAGUUGUGAAUUCUUUUGUAAAUUUGAAAAAAAUAUUAACAAUUUUUUUGGUAAAUAUGUUCAUGUCUACAAUAUUAUCUUGCCAAAAAUACUUGCAUUAUUAAAGUUAUUUAUACAACUUCAAUAGCAAAACACAAUAAUACAAAAAAAUUAGUCAAAUUUAUUACAACUAAUGGAGAAAACUUCUCAAGAAAACUUAGUCAAAUUCACAAAAGAUCAAACAUUACAUUAGUUCAAACAUAUAACAGUUUCACUAGAAGUCUUGUGGGAAGUCUUCGGGAAGAUUUCUUCUCAGAAAAAAUUUCGGAAGACUUAAAUUUCAAGCAGAAAAUUUAAAUAUAAGCGGGAAAUUUAAGCGGAAAAUUAAAAUUUAAGCGGGAAACUCAAAUUUUAAGUGAAAAUUAAAAUUUCAAAUUUCAUGAAAGUUAAAAAAUAUAUCUUAUGAUCUAAGAAGACACAUCAAACCAUAUGACUUGAUAUUCUUAAAGUUAUUUAACACUUUUGAAAAUUAAAAAAUAUAUAUAUCUUAAAGUUGAAAAUACAAGUUUUACAACAACUAAUGUAGAAAACUUAUGGGAAAGUCUUCUCUCAUUAGGUAGAAACAUUAAGAAGCAUGACUGUUGUUAACUUCAUAAUUAUCACCAAUUAAGUUAUGAAUUUCAUUCAUGAGCCCAAUACAUUAAUUAACAAGAAAAUGUUAAAAAGUCUUUAUAGUUUUAGAGAAAAUAAAAUUUUAUUAAACGUUGACGUAGACGACUUCCACGGAAGUCGUCCGGAAGACUUACACGGAAAUCUUCUGGUCAAUGCGUAGGUUAGUUUUGCAAUUGACUUUAUGUGUCAGAAAUUUGACUUUUCCUAGACGACUUACGGAUAAACAUGUUAGUUUUGCAUUUGACCGUACUGUGUCAGAAAUUUGAUUUUUCCUAAACGGCUUACACGAAAGUCGUCCAAAAGAAAAGUAAAAUUUAAAUAUUUAUAUUUUUCUAGACGACUUCCAUGUAAACCGUUUCAGGUUACUUUUGCAAUUGAAAAAUAAAACUUAAAUAUUUUAUUUUAUCCGGACGACUUCCAUCACAGAAGUCUUCUGACAAACGACUCACACAUAAGUCUUCUGUAAUAACCAAGGUUUGACUAAAAUCUCGGAAUAAAAUCCUGGAAGACUUCCAUGUAAGUCUUCCGACAGACGACUUACAUAGAAGUCUUCUGUAAUAACCAAGGUUUGACUAGAAUAUCGAAAUAAAAUCCUGUAAGACUUUCGUGUAAGUCGUCUACCGGAAGACUUAUAUGGAAAUCAUCUGGAUAAAAUUAAAUAUUUAAGUUUUAAUUUUCAAUUGAAAAAGUAACCUGAAACGACUUAUUUGGAAGGUGUCUAGUAAAAGUUAAAUAUUUAAUUUUUAUUUUUCUGUUGGACGACUUCCGUGUAAGUUGUCUAGGAAAAGUCAAAUUUCUGACACAAUCCGGUCAAAUCCAAAACUGACAUGUUUAUCCUAGACGAUUUACCGGGAAGUCUUCUUUAAUUUUUUUGAAAACAAAGAAAACCGGAAGACUUCCAGAUAAGUCGUCUAGAAAAGAUACACAUAAAGUCAAUUGUGAAACUAACAUAUGCAUUGACCAGAGCAAAACUAACACAUGCAUUGACCAGAAGACUUCCGUGUAAGUCUUCUCGUCGGAGAAGACUUACACGUAAGUCUUCUGACAGACAGAUCUGGAAAAAAAAUUGAUUUCAUAACUUUAACCAGUGAGAUAACUUGUUUAGCUUCUCCAACCACACAAUACUUCACCACCAAAGCAACCUACUUGACCACGAAUCAUGAGCUUGAAUGGUUCGAAGAACCUUAAUAAUUUUAGAAUCAAAAUCUUGGGUUUUAUUAGAUGAAUAUAGAGAGAAAGUGAAACAGAUGUUUUUUUUAGUUCAUAAGAAAUAAGAUAAAGGAGUAAUCGAUUUUUAGGUGCAUUAAAAGCUUCAAAUUGGUUGUUCAUGGUGGUUGGUGUAUUGAUGGCAAUGACAAUAUUGUAAAUACUUGAAGAAGAUGGAGAUGAGAGAGUAAAACACUUAUUUUCGAAAAGAAAAAAAUAAUAAUAGCAUUUUCGUAAAUAAUCCGAACUUUUGGAGUGAAUAAGGCAAAUGAAAGUUCCAAAAAAACGUGGAUUAGUUUUGUGUUUGACUUCGAGUUUUGAGCCAUAUUUGCAAAAAUUAAAAUGAAAAAUUUGGAGUAACUAUUUAUUAAUAUAUAGAAAUAUAAAAGGUAUAGUAAAAAGUUAAAAUGUUAAAAUUAAAUUGAUAUCUAUAUUAACUCACUAAAAGUUUACAUCAAUAGAUUUUUACAGAAAAAGUUCACAAGUUUAUUUUUAGAAUAUAGUCUACAUGUUAUUGAGAAUGUUCAAGUAAACUUGUAAAAUAUAAAAACAAAUAUGGAAAAUUAAUGUCAUAAUUUAUUUAUUUUUAAAAUAUCAAUAUUUUUCAUAGAAGCAAAAUAUUUUCUUAAAUGUGAAAUAUUCAGUCAACAUAAAAAUAUUUAAUGUAUUAAAAAUACAAAAAAAAAUUAUUAAUAUAUAUAAAUUUAAAAGGUAUAGUAAAAACUAAAAACAAAUGUUAAAUUAAUUUGCUAUCAAUAUUAAUUUACAGGAAAAUUAGCAUCGAUAUAUUUUAACAGAAAAAAAGUUCACAAGUUUAUUUUACGAUAUAGACUAUAUGUUAUUGAGAAUGUUCACAUAGACUUUAAAAAUAUCAACAAAAUAUGAAAAUAACCAUUAUAAUUUAUUUCUUUUUAAAAUAUCGAGGGUUUUCAAAAAUAAAAAAAAUAUUACUAUGAAAUAAAAUGAACAUAAACAUCAAAUAUUGUAAACAAACAAAGAGAAAGUUAUCAAAAAUGAAUUAACUUGAUGUAGAUUUUUAUUCUGUAGAAGAGUAACAUUAAAAGAUAUUAAUAAAAACAUAAUAUAUCAUAUAUACCAAAAUAAAAUAGAUAACUAAUCUAUCAAAAUUAACCUAAUAAAAAAAUUAAAAGAAAAUUAAGAUGAAUUUUUGUAUGGGAACUUUUCUUAUUUCAAAAUUUUUGGUAUCAAUUUAAGUAAUAAUCUAAAUUUGGCAUCGUACUGAGUUGUUAAAUGCCAAUGAGUCUGAGAUGGUUGCAGUUAAAGAGAGGUUGCGGGAAAAUGUGGAAGAUGUCAGUUUCUGGAGAAGAAGCUCGGGUUUUAACGAUAAGUUUUCUACCCAGGAGACUGGUUUUUAACUCGUACCUCUGAUGCUCAUAUUGAUUGGGUACAAGCUGUUUGGUUCUUGCAGAUUACACCCAAGUAUGCUUUUAUUACAUGGUUAGCCAUGUUGGAUAGGCUAAGUACUAUGGACAGGGUUGCGAGAUGGAAUAGUGGUGUUGAUGUUACUUGUGCUCUUUGUAAGAAUGCUGCAGAGUCUCGUAGUCAUCUGUUCUUCGAGUGCUCUUACUCUUCUCAGAUAUGGGAGCAUCUUAUGCUUGGCAUCCUUAGGGGUUCGUAUACAAUUGACUGGAAUGCAAUUGUGGCUUUUCUUAAACAGUCUGAUAGAGAUAAGAAGAGAUCCUUUUGUUUGAGAUAUGGCUUUUAAACCAUCAUCUAUGUGAUAUGGCGUGAAAGGAAUAAGAUUAAGCACGGAGAAAGUCCAUUGCCUAUGAAUGCAGUGAAGAAGCUUAUUGAUAAGAGAGUUAGGAACAAGUUAAGCCUACUGAGAUCAAGAGGAGGUAAGGGUAUGGAAUCUGCCCUUCAAUAUUGGUUUAGCACAAGGACAUGAGGUUUGGAGGUUUGGGAAUACUUUGGAGGUUUGGGAGGGUUUGAAGUUAUUGAGUUUAAAGAUAGGAUUUCCUUUGUUAAGGUCUACACUCUGAUGUAAAAAAACUUUUUUGAUGAAUAAAAUUUAACAUUCAUUCAAAAAAAAAAAAUCUAAAUCUAUAUAUAUAAAAAAAUAUUUUCCUCCCUCCUAUUGCGCCACGUCAUAAAGUCAUUGAUUGUGAGUGCGACACCUGUCUUCUUUGCCUAAAACUCAUCGUUUCAUUAACUUAUGAUGUGGGCUGCUGCGUUUCAUAAUUGUUUACGAUUUAGUGGGCUUUUUGUUCACACCGUGAUAUAGCCCAAAUACAGAGAGAUAGCCACUAUAAUGAAAACAUAUGUAAAGACUGAAACUUUUGAAACGAGAAGGAAAAGAAGGAGUGUACCGUGAGUUUCUGGAUGCUACUGACUUCGCCUUGGUUGGAGGCGAUAUCAACGGUGACGGUUCAUUUCGCUGCCACCUCUGGUAACUCAAUAACAUUCAAGAUUUUAAAAUUAUUGGCGAUGGGUUUUGCAGAGUAUGAAGAGGCAGAGGGAAGAGGAUGAUGAGCAACAACAGUGAAGAGGUUAAAAAAGAAAAUUGAACCAAUUAAUAAAAAUAUUCCACAGUUUAAGCGGCGAGUAAAUCAGAUCGGUUUCUCAAUUCCGCUAUGACUCGAUCAAGAGAGAAAUAUAGUUUUUUCCAAAGAAACAUAGAUAUUAUCAAAGCAAAGAUUGCUCCGAACGAAUCAUAAGAAGAUAAGGAAGCAAUCAAAGGUUUUUAUUUCAUUUUUUAAUUAGUUAUUUGGAGUUAACAUGAAUGGAAGUGCCAUACACGCGCAGAGACAUGCGUGUUGGUGGGAUAUGAGAUACAUAUUUUAAACUUAAAAGGGAAAAAGACAGGAAGCAAUGCGUUCUAUGCACAUUGGGUCUUUUCUUUUGAGCCUUUUGUUUCAAAUAAAAACGACAGGACAUAACCGGAUUUACUUCGGUUUAAUUUAGAUUCGAUUCAACUUAAAUGCAUGCAUGAUUUUAAGCUACACAAGUUUUAUUCAAUAAAUAAACCAACAGAAAAUUUUAUUGUAAGAAAUUGGGUUAAUUGGAAUUCAUAAGGCAGAAAACAAUAAAUAAUUAAAAAUAAUUUUAUAAUUAUCUAGCUACUUAUAUUUAUAUAAUAUUUAUAUAUCAAAAUAGCAUAAAUAUACGAUUAUAAUUAAUAUUUAAAUAAAAAAUCCGGGCGUAAUUAACCCGGGCCGACCCUAGUUUAUAAUAUAUUUCAAAGUAUCUAAAAUAAACUAAAACGACUGAUGAUUUUAGUUCUUUUCUUUCUACCGAUCCACUUCAUUCUUUAGCUUUCAAUGAGUUUACAAAACUUUUGUUGAAAAACCACAGAUAAGAACAAUAUUGAGACACAUAUUGUUAAAAAGAUAGUUUAUCAAUGAGUUUAAGCUGUUUUUUAUCAAUCAAAAGGAAUUUAUAAAGUUGUUUUUAAUAGUCAACACUAUUAUAUUAUGUUUUGAGACAAUCAAAACCUUCAAACAAAUCAAAUAGGGUAUUAUGAAGUAAACUUAAAGAUGGGUGUACUCUAUACUUUAUUUUUUUAAAUUACAUCAUUAACAAUACAGCAAAUUACAUGUUAACUUCUUAUAAACAUAUAAUCCGAGUAACCAAUAAAAAGUAUAAAAUGAAUGCUUAUGUCAAUUUUAGUGAAGAAACCCGUACAAUAUAUAAAAUUAAAGAUGGUCUCAGACGAGUUUGUCAAACAAAUAUAUUUAGAGGAUAAUAUUUAUAAGAUAGGUGAAAAAUAAUCAAAAUAAACUUUCUAAAUAAGUUUCUAAAAUUACAGAAAGUAAAUAUAGACUCCACAAAAACAUAAGAGAGUGAUAUAAAAAUAGUCAAUAUACUAACAACAAAGUAAAAACAGUGAAAUUUUACAAAAUUCUAUAAAAAGUUCAAAAUUAAAAUAAUUAUGCCAUGUAAGAAAGGGCCCCUGUAAGAAAUCUACUAAAACUUUACUCUAAAUUACCAGAUGAAAGCAAUUGUCAGGAUUCAAAAAGUCUUAAGAAGCUUCAUGUAUUAUAAAAAUAUUUACAAUAGUAUUCUAGUUAAAUAAAGCUAUGUAUUAAAACAUUUAUCUUAAAUAUUUAUAAUCUUUAUCAUAAAUCUUUACAAUAUCUGUAAAUCUUAAUUUAAAAUUAAUUAAACAAUAAAAUUUCAACUAAAAUAUGUGCAAAAAAAUAUAAAAGAUCACACAUUUAUUGUAUAACUCUCAUAAGUAAAAAAGUAAAAUAAAUAAUAUGCAUAUAAAUUAAUCGUUUAUAAAAUAAGUAAAAAUUAUAAAAAAAAAUAUUUGCAAUAGUAUAGUAGCGGUUUAUAUGCAUUGAGUAAUUUAUACAGUAUUUAAAAAAUGGCAAUUCUCUCAAAUAGACUUUUUUAAGUUUUUAUCACAAAAAUAGCCCUCAAAAAAUAAAAUGACCAAAAUAACCUUUUUAUUUUGAAAAUUUUAAUAUUUUUUUUAUUUUUAAAAAUUUGAAUCUAUCCCCAAAGCCCAACCCCUUAACUCUAAACCCUAAGUCUUAGAUUAGUUAACUCUAAGGGUAUAAAUGCAUAUUUACCUUUCAAUAAAAUUUCUUUUGGUCAUUUUCUUUCUUGGAAGUCUAUUUUUGUGAAAAUAAACUAAAAAGGGCUAUCUAAGAGAAUUUCUCUUUAAAAAAUAAAAUUUUAUAUAAUAAAUAUAAAAAUGAUUAUAAAUAAAAUUUUAGUUUUAAAAAUACAGACAAAUAUAUACUAAAUAGUAAUUAUUUUCAAGAGUAUAAUUUUAUAAACAAAAUAAACGUAACUAGUAAAUUAUUAUAUUAUAUUUUAAAUAAAUUUUCCAAGAAAUAAAAUUUAUAUAAAUAAAAAUUUAUAAAUCAGUUCUAGUUGAAAACUUUUUUUAAAAAAAUUUAAACAAAAUUAUUAAUACAGAUUCGUGCGUAGCGAACAUAAAAUAUAGUUCACAUAAAAAGAUUAUGUGAUAGGAAAUUAUCGCUCAAGAUUGGUCCCAAGCAUAGGCUAUUGAAACACUGGCUUAUAAUUUCCAAAAUAUUAGGAAAAAUUUACAUAUAUAUAGAUCUUUAAAUUUGCAAAAAAAAAGAUUAUGUAAUUUUUUUUUAAAUUAACUACAACCUCUAAAAUUUCAGGUAUGCACUACUAUGAUAACAUAAAAGAAAGUUAGAAACAACAAUGAAAUACGUCAUUUCUUGCGGCCCUUUUACAAACAAAACAAAGCCAUCCCGUAAGGCACGCAUGAGCCACUUGCGGCCCUUUUUACACACAAACAAAACCAUCCCACAAGGCACGCAUGAGUCAUUAGCAAUGAACAAUAGUGCCAUCGUAAAAAAAAACAGUAGCAAAAUCGAUAAAAUAGGAAAGUUCAAAAUAUAGUUGUACUUGUGAUUUGCACCAGAAGUUUCAAUGGUUUUUCUCAUAGUGCCUUAUGUAAAGAACAGUUUUUAUAAGUAAUACCUAGUACGUACUGUAUAUAUAUGUAUUAAGCACAGCAAAGUUAUCACCGGUUCUAAACUUUUUCUUCGGUUCUAAUAUUCUCCCUCUGAACGAAACUAAUAUCCAAACAUGCAAAGAAUCGGGAGGAUUGGGAAGGUCAAAGAAAAUAACACACGACCGGUAAAUGUGGAAGAAACACGAGAAUAGUGGUGGUUUUGGAGACGGAAGAAAGAGAAACGGUAAACCAAGUCAUCUUGGUCUAGUGGUAAAAGGAUUCCAGUUGGAGUUUUCGUUCUGGUUUCGAGUAGCAUUAGCCACCUGUAGACACUCUAAGUGGCGAGAAAACUCGGAUUUCUAUGGACCUCGUAGGAUUAUUCUUUGGGCUUAAAAAGCCUUUGAAAUCCCCACGAUUAUCAGAAGAAAAAAAAAUAGUACAAGCAAAACCAUAAAAAAAGGAAGAAGAGAGAGAAAGAGGAGAGUUCUCGUACGGUACGGUAGACGAAAGGCCGUACUGACGAUGGAGGUUAAAUCUCAUCCUAAACGGGUUGAGAGAGUUUCACCUUUUGUUUUUACCGCAAACUCAGUGUACUCCUCAGUAUAGUUAAACAGUGAUAAUAUCUAGAUAAUAAAAGUAUAGUGAUCAGUUUAAUCGGAUGUAUUAUGUUGAAGCAAGUACAUCGCAUCAAUUGGGUCAUAUCAAGUGUGUCACAUAAAGUUUAUGGAUCUUACAUCUGAUUGUUGAGCUUAAGGCCGUGUAUCUGAUGAGCCCUAGAGUUUUAGGAUGCGGAAUAACUUUUAUAUAUAUCAUGUAUUCUUGUAAUCCUAAAAUAAAUUGAAUAUUGCCUCCAAAUAACAAAAAAAAAUUAUUUCUAGGCAUAGCCAAAUUGAUGAACCACAUUACAUAUAUUGUUGUAUCUUUGUUCAUAUAUAUUGUUGUGUCUUUGUUACAUCAUUUUAUCAUUUGUUUUAAUGCAACAUCACGACCAGUCUUAUGUUUUAAGAUUUGAGUUACAGUUAUAAAUAAAGUUUCUAUCAAAAAUACAAGUGAAAAUAAUAAAAUCCUAAACACUCCACGUACAGAUUUAUGUUAUAUGUUAUACUUUUUGUUUGUAUAUAAACUAUUAUUUAUAUUUCCAAAACCACCAUAGCAAUAUCUUAUUCUUAUUUCUACAAAUAAACAAUAUUAUCAACUUCAUCUAAUUUUGUGUUAGUCAAAUAUUUUUAUUUCCUUUCUUGUUCCUAUUUUUGAAUUAUUAGUUUUAAAAUUAUUAUUUUACAUAAUCUUAUUAGUUGUAAAUUCUUUUGGAUUGGAAAUAUAUAAAUUAUUUUGUUAUUGAUAUCGGAUAAAUAAUAUCAUCAGUAAGUAUAGUUCUUAGAAGAAUAUAUAUUGCAACUUAUUUUUGUUAAAAAUUAUUUUUAUACAUAUUAAAAAUAAGUUUUUAUUAUUUAUUUAUUUUUAAAUAGUUUAAUAGUUUUUGUUAUUAAUAAUAAUUCAUUAUUAUAUAUUUAUAUUUAUAUUUAUUUUAUUAAAAACUACUCUGGAACUUAUACAUCAAAAAUGUUACCAGUCAUCAGUUUUACUAAAAUAGUAACUCUUGUUUUUACUAAAAAUUUACCAUAUAAAAUUACAGUUUUUAUCACAUAAUUUUUACUGCAAGUUAUAUCGAAUUGUAAUACAUAUUGCAACUCGACUUCAAUAUUAUAUAUCAACAAACGGAGCCUUUGUUUCCAUAUAUCUGUAACAACAUACUAUCUCAUGUUGAGCAUAGGUAGACUUAUGUGAACAAAAGUCUUUAAUGUUUGUCUCAGGUGAAGAGAAGUCUCAAAACCAUAGUAUUUACGGGAAAAAAUCAAAUGUGUGUGGGAAAACCAAUGUAACUUGCAAACAAAAUAUACGUUAAUAGAAAUUUGGACUUUACAUAAGUACAGCAAAUAGUCUUUAGUUAUGAAUUAAAAGGCUAUAUUCACUAUUUCACUUAGUUAAUGGGUUUCGAACAUCAUUAUGGUUUUCUUAACACCACAUGGCAUGAAGAUUCUAUGAGAAUCUAAGAAUGAAAUGAUUAAGAUAGAACUUGAGUAGAUUAUGAGAGAUUAUGAAGAGUUUAGUGUAGAAUCAUGAUUGAGAGAGUAUGAUAAGAUAAAGAGAAACUCAGAACUGUAUAUUUAUUAUUAAUGACAAGAGUUGCAAUAUAUAGUGAGAGAUCAGUAGGGUUUUCGAAAUCAUAAAGGAUAGCUAAGCAUGUGAAGUCAACAAGGUUAGGAUAAGCUCUCUUUAACUCGGCCAAUCAGCGUUCCCACAUGCUUGGAGCAUCUAGGAUCUUGGACAAAGAUGCUCUUGCCUUUCCAGCUGUGCCAGCCUGUAAAGCCGCGCCUCUCUUAUCCUCCAACGGUCUGAUUCAUCAGCCAAAGCCCCUUCUCUUCCCAUAAGUUACUCGGGUAACUCCUUGUAACCGCGGUCAUGGUUUCACUGGUCUGAAUGUGUACGGACCGUACGGCCUUGUACGGCCUUGUACGGUCAGGCCACUGUGAACCUCUCCCAUCACACCAAUGCUUAACACACUCUCUUCAGUCUUAACCCCUUUGUACUUCACACUUGUAUACUCAACUCUUCUCAACACUCCCCCUCAAGCUUAGCUUUGUGAUACCUACAAGGGUAUUGAAGGAUCAAGCACCAUUUGAGGUACUGAACCAGCGCAAGCCAUCUUUGACAUAUAUGAGAGUGUUUGGAUGCUUGUGUUAUGUGUUGGUACCAGGAGAGUUGAGGAACAAGCUAGAAGCAAGAAGCAGAAAGGCAAUGUUCAUUGGCUACUCAACAACUCAAAAAGGAUAUAAGUGUUAUGAUCCAGAAGCUAGAAGGGUACUUGUAUCUAGAGAUGUGAAGUUCAUUGAAGNNNNNNNNNNNNNNNNNNNNNNNNNNNNNNNNNNNNNNNNNNNNNNNNNNNNNNNNNNNNNNNNNNNNNNNNNNNNNNNNNNNNNNNNNNNNNNNNNNNNNNNNNNNNNNNNNNNNNNNNNNNNNNNNNNNNNNNNNNNNNNNNNNNNNNNNNNNNNNNNNNNNNNNNNNNNNNNNNNNNNNNNNNNNNNNNNNNNNNNNNNNNNNNNNNNNNNNNNNNNNNNNNNNNNNNNNNNNNNNNNNNNNNNNNNNNNNNNNNNNNNNNNNNNNNNNNNNNNNNNNNNNNNNNNNNNNNNNNNNNNNNNNNNNNNNNNNNNNNNNNNNNNNNNNNNNNNNNNNNNNNNNNNNNNNNNNNNNNNNNNNNNNNNNNNNNNNNNNNNAACAAAGUAUGGUCUAGUUCAGACUUCCUGAAGCCUUUUCCAUUCAGUGUAGUACUCAGCUUGUGAUACCAGGCUCUAGGUGAUUGCUUCAAUCCAUAGAUAGCCUUCUUCAACCUUAGGACAUUCCCUGGCUUCACAAGACUCUCAAGACCCGGAAGAGGCUGCAUAUACACUUCAUCUUCAAGUUCCCCUUGUAGAAAUGCAUUCUUCACAUCCAUUUGCCACAAUCCCCAUUCAAGGUUGGUAGCAAUUGAUAAGAUGAUUCGGAUGGUGUGAAGCUUAGCCACUGGAGCAAAUGUGUCUAUGUAGUCCUCUCCAUAUGUCUGUGUAAACCCUCUAGCCACAAGCCUGGUCUUCUUCCUAUCAACUGUCCCAUCUGGUCUAUACUUGAUUGUAAAUAUCCAUUUACAUGACACUGCUCUCUUCCCUUUAGGCAGCUCACUCUCAUACCAAGUCCCAUUCUUGAUCAUAGCAUCAGACUCAUCCGCAACUGAGUUCCUCCAGUCUUCAUCCUUUAUAGCCUCCCCAUACGUUCUUGGUAUGUAGCUCUCAUCCAGACUUGUUAUGAAUGCACAAUGAUCCCUUGGAAACUCGGCAAAAGAGCACACUGCCUGACUUGGAUGAGCUACUGCUUGUGCAUUGUAGUAGACCCUGGUGUUUGCCCAGUUAGAUGGAUCUUUCCUUACUCUUGUACUCCUCCUCAGAGGCGCAGGCACACUCUCCACAACUGGAGCACUAGUCAUGUUCUCCAUUUCUUCUUCCUCUUCUUCAGGUACAAGUGGUGUACCUCCACUUUGAUCCCUUACUUCACUUGACUCUUCAUCAUUGAUCCCACUUUGAUCAUGACUAGCUGAGUCUCUUCCUUCUUCAUGUACCGCCUCAGACUUGUCUUCCCCCUCAUGAUCAAUGUGGGAUGUUUCUUCAGCUUCAUUCCUAGUAGGCGUCUCUUGCGCCUUUGGAUCCUGGGUUAGAUUAAUCCCAAGACCCUCUAAGAUCAUCCUAAGGCUUGUAGCCUUAUCAGAUGUUUGAGCUAGAUCCUUCAGAUCUUCCCAGCUCCUUUCUUCAUAGUAUCCUCUUGUUUCAAUGAACUUGACAUCUCUUGAUACCAGAACUCUUCUUGAUUCUGGAUCAAAGCAUUUAUACCCCUUUUGAGUAGUUGAGUAUCCCACAAACAUUGCUUUAGUACUCCUCGGUUCCAACUUGUUUCUCAUCUCCCCGGGGACAAGUACAUAACACAAACACCCAAACACUUUAAGAUGACUUAGAGAUGGCUUGGUCUUGUUCAAUACUUCAAACGGUGACUGAUCUUCCAAGAUUCUUGUAGGCACCCGGUUGAUCAAAUAGCACGCAGCUUGUACAGCAUCACUCCAAAAUCUCUUAGGUGCAUUGGUUUGGAACAUCAUGGAUCUAGCUACUUCCAUUAGGUGUCUAUUCUUUCUCUCCGCAACCCCAUUCUGUUGUGGAGUAUAAGGACAGCUUGUUUGAUGUAGAAUCCCAUGUAGAGCCAGAUGUUGCUUGAAGGCAUGACUUGUGUAUUCUCCACCAUUAUCUGAUCUGAAAAUCUUAAGCUUAGCAUUGUACUGGUUAGUUACAUAAGUCUGAAAAUUCUUAAAUGCUUCAAGAACUCUAUCCUUAGUCUUUAUAAGUGUUAUCCAGGUGUAUUUAGAUUUUUCAUCAAUGAAUGUGACAAAGUACUUAUAGUUUUCUCUAGAUAAGCAAGGAGCAGUCCAUACAUCAGAAUGUACAAGGUCAAAACACUUCUCAUAGAUAGUACUUGAUUUCUUAAAGACAGUCUUACAAUGUUUUCCCAAAAUACAUGCCUCACAAUCAUUAUUUUUAAACAUGACACCUGGUAACAUUAAGCUUAAGGCUCUAACAUGUGGAUGACCUAAUCUAGCAUGCCAUAAUGCAUCAUUAUUGAUACUUGAACUAGAACUAAACGAGCAAAUUGAACUGGAAAUAGGAGCUAAGUCUUCUAGCAUAUAGAGUUCUCCCUUUGUCACUCCUUUGCCAAUCAUCUUACUUGUCUCAAUAUCCUGAAACUUCACAUCAUUAGGACUGAAUAUAACAUUGCAAUGUAAAUCAGUAGUGCAUUUCUUAACAGAUAACAAGUUUGAUGUGAAUUCAGGCAUAUAAAGAGCUCUAGACUCUUUAUUAAACAGUUUUAGAUUUCCUAUUCCUGUUAUUGCAAUCCUAUCACCAUUAGCAAUCAUUACAUGACCCUGAGCAGGUUCUAUGUCUUUAAUCAAGCUAUUAUCACUAAUCAUGUGAUGGGAAGCACCUGAAUCUACAAUCAGUGAUUUUAUUACAUUAUGCGCAGCAAAGGUACUUGGUUGUCUCAGGUUAUCUAAUCUAGAUGCACCACUUAACUUGAAUUCAGGAUCACUACUGAGAUGAGCACAAGUCCUAUCUAGGUAUGAUGCAGCAAGAGAGUAACAAGGGUUAUUUCCAAUACAGUUACCAUUCUCCUUGAGAGCUUUGAUGAGGGCGUCUAUGUCUGAUCUCCGGAUCAACUCGCCUUCAGUGCUCCUCAAGGGUGUGUGCUGAGUAGUUAAGGCUCUCCCCUCACCCUCACGCAUUGCUGAGCCAGCCCCGGAUGAGCUAGCUUCUCCUCCUUCAUUAGAUAGGUGCGCCCUUGCCUCUCUAUCUUUCAUGAACUUAGCUGGCUUGAGAUGAGGAUGUAGGAUCCAGCACUGGCUCCUUUUGUGACCUAGCUUCUUGCAAUGAUCACAGUUGCCCCCAAACUUCCUCUCCUCACUCUUGUAUGCCGCUUUGUUUGCUUGAGCUCCAUCCGCAUGGUUAGCUAAGGUGAGCUCCCCCUUUCCUCCAAACAGCCCCACUGACCCUUCUUCUUUCUGUAUCUGAGCGCACACAUCUUCAAGUGAUGGUAGCUUUGGAGACCUCAGUAUGUGUUUGAUCAGAUCGUUAAAGAUAGGGUUCAAUGUCAGCAACAGCCCAAACACUUGAUCUUGAGCCCUCCUCUCCAUAAGAGUGUCAUGAUCAGUGGUGUUGGGUCUCAGCAUUUCUAGUUCAGACCAUAAGGCUCUGAACUUUCCCAAAUGCUUUACUCAACCUCUUCUUGCGCAAGUGUGUUGAUUGAUCUCUUCAACUCAAACACCCGGCUCAGAUUGGAUGUGUUCCCAUAGACCUUUUGAAGAGUAUCCCACAGGUCUUUUGGCGUCUCACAGUAGAUGUAGGCCUCCAAGAUUGAAGCUUCAAGCGACCCAUGAAGAACUGUCAACACCUUCAAGUCGUCUUGAUCCCACUUCUCUUGGUCCGCUACCAUCAGCUCUUGACCGCCUUCUCCCUCCGUAGAAACUGGCUUUGGAGUUCCAUCUGAGAUGUGACUCCACAAACCCUUGCUCCCAACUGCAGCUUUCACCAGGCGAGACCACAGCAAGUAGUUCCCACCUCCUUUCAACGUAACCGGAACCGUCAAAGUCUUGUUCUUGUCUUCCAUGAGUGUGACCGUGAGUAGAGAUGGUUUAGGAAUGAAGAUGGAGACUCUAGAGAUUUAGAAACCAGGAAAUGAGUAACCUGGCUCUGAUACCAUAUAAGAAUCUAAGAAUGAAAUGAUUAAGAUAGAACUUGGGUAGAUUAUGAGAGAUUAUGAAGAGUUUAGUGUAGAAUCAUGAUUGAGAGAGUAUGAUAAGAGAAAGGGAAACUCAGAACUGUAUGUUUAUUAUUAAUGACAAGAGUUACAAUAUAUAGUGAGAGAUCAGUAGGGUUUUCGAAAUCAUAAAGGAGAGCUAAGCAUGUGAAGUCAACAAGGUUAGGAUAAGCUCUCUUUAACUCGGCCAAUCAGCGUUCCCACAUGCUUGGAGCAUCUAGGAUCUUGGACAAAGAUGCUCUUGCCUUUCCAGCUGUGCCAGCCUGUAAAGCCGCGCCUCUCUUAUCCUCCAACGGUCUGAUUCAUCAGCCAAAGCCCCUUCUCUUCCUAUAAGUUACUCGGGUAACUCCUUGUAACCGCGGUCAAAGUUUCACUUGUCUGAAUGUGUACGGACCGUACGGCCUUGUACGGCCUUGUACGGUCAGGCCAAUGUGAACCUCUCCCAUCACACCAAUGCUUAACAUACUCUCUUCAGUCUUAACCCCUUUGUACUUCACACUUGUAUACUCAACUCUUCUCAACGGAUUCUAUCAAACCUAUAAACCAUCUUUAUAGUCUCAAACAAGUUAUAGUAAAUAUUUUCGACCAAAAAAGUUAUAGUGCAUAUGAAAAUUAAAAGACGUUAGUAUUAAAUAGAAACAAAGAAUCUCAAGAUAAUAAAACAAUAAUAAUCUCGAGAUAAUACUAAACUAUUAGUAAUUAGUGUAACUGGACAUAGGUAAACUUAUGUGAAAAGAAAAAGAGUCUUUACUUUUUGUCUUUGGUGAACAGAAGUCUUCGAACAUUAAAAUUUACAGAAAAAAAAAACAAUAAAUUUAGAGACAUAUCAAAAAGGAAAAACAAAAGUGGUCACUUUCAAAGCAGAAUAGUGGACACUUAACCGUGUUUAAGGGUUUUGAUGGUUUUCAAUAUUUUAUUCCCCUGGACAUUAUUAUUUGCAUGUGUCAUUACCACAUUUAUUUCACAAAAACAAUGACAUAGUUUUAAAAAAAACUGUGACAUUGCAUUAAGCUGAUUGUGACAUGUAAAAUUUCUUUAUGAAAUUAUAUUUGGCUAGAAUUUUUAAUAAGGUAAUGACUAUUAACUCUUAUACCAUUAUUAAACAUUUAAAUUUUAUGUAAUUAUAUUUAUUUUUGGCAAGACUUUUUAAAUAUUUAAUAAUUAAUAAUUUUUAUAUCAUCAUUAAAGAAAAUAUAAAAUAAACUAAACAUGACUACAUAUAACAUUUACAUUAAUUUAUAAAUUAAGAAAAUAAUUUAUAAAUUAAUUAAGAACAUGAUUUUCCACUAAAAGUAUUUUAACUAUAAUAAAAAAAAAUAUUAUUAAAAUUUAGGUAUUUAAAUAUAGACAAAAUUAAUUUGCAUAUGUGUCAUCACCAUAUUCAUUUUAAGAAAAUGACAUGGCUUUUGAAAUUAAAAUAUUAAUUAUAACUGUGUAUUAACAAAUAUAUAACUAAAAAAACACUAAUCAGUUUUUGUUGUUGAUGAUUAAUGAGUAAAACGUUUAUUAGCACUUAUCGGUUGAUUAGGUUAAUUAACAAAAAACUUUAUGGGCUUCAUGUAUUUAACUAAAACAAAUAAAAAUGUAACUUUAUUAAAUUUAAUAUAUAUAAAUAUAGACAUAUUUAAUAUUAGGAAAUAAGAUAAAUAUUUAAAUUAAAUAACCAAUAAAUAUAAUAAAAUAUAAAUAAAAAAAUUAUUUUUAGUAAAUGUAAUUAUAACUCUACUAAAUUUAAAUAAAAUAAAAUAGAAAUAGGUAACCAAAUUCGAAUUUUUUAAUAAAAAAAAUCACAUUUAUGAUUUUAUCUUUUUCCAAAUCGGUAAAUUUAAAAUAUAAAAAUAAUAAUAUCAAAAUGUAAAAUAAGUCUUGAAAAUAUUGUAAAGUUACAGUAAAAGUACAGAAAAUAAAAGAAAUGCUUUUCUAAAAUAAAAUAAAUACAAUAAGAUGCAAAGCUAAAAUUAGAGAAUAAUACAACACAGAGAUUAAAAUUUGAAGAAGUUUUCUUCUGAAUCAUUUUGCAUCUCAUUAUUCAACACCAUUUAUAUUUGGCUAUCAUUUUUAUGAUAUUUCAAAUUAUUUUUCGCAGUUUUGUUUGUUGUAUAAUAUUGUCCAUAUUCCACAUUAGAUCUACAUGUAUUUUUGAAAAAAUAAAUUCUAAUUUAUUGAUUCUCUCGAAAGAAAUAUUAAAUGAAAUUGCUAACUUUUAACAAUUCUAAAAUAUAUCUAUACAAUAAGGAAAUUGUAUUUUCAGUGAGGAAUGACCAAUAAACAUAUUGAAUUGUAAACAUAUAAUAUUUUUUGGUCGCAUCACUUCUAUACCCAUGACAAUGAACACUAUAGUGACUUCCAUGGUAAUUGUUUUCACAACAAAGUUGUUAAGAUGAGUUCCUUACCACUUACUAGUUUCUAAACAAUUAGAUUAAGUUGCUCACCUUCUAUCUCAGUUUCGAAUGCAAGACUCACAUGCUCACCGACGUGGCCUGGAACUCUGCCUCUCGUAAAGCAGGAGGUGGCUGGUACUGAAUUGAUCAUGAGAAUGUUGUUAUCUUGCAGGGUGCCCGAGUCUUUGAUCGUAUUUCCUCCCCACUGAUGGCGAAAGCCAUAACCAUCCGAUCUCUUGAAGCUGGAAUCACAGAAAUCUGCAUAAAAUCAGAUUGUCAAGUACUUAUUGCUGCUAUGUCUUCGAAACGUUUUCCGGCGGAUCUCUACGGAAUCUCCCGAGAUAUCGAGACUCUAUCUCUUUGCUUCCUUUGUAUUUCCUUUUGUUUUAUCCCGAGGAACCUGAACUCUAGAGCCAAUUCUUUGGCUAAGUCUGUAUUAAACUCUUCUCCCACCAACUAGUUUGGUCAGGGUAGCAUUUAUAAUAUUUGGUGUUCAAAAAAAAAAAUUAAGUUGCAUGACAUUGAUCUCACUCAAAUUACUCUAAAGAGUAAAUUUACUCUCUCAAAUAAGAGGUUUAUUGCAGUAUUUAGGGAUCGAAUCCACAAGGAGUUAGAGAACCUAAUAAAUCUAAUGGGUUUUGUUAAGUUGGAUGGUUUAAUGAUUAAAAUGUAAAUUUACAGUUUUGUUUGAGCAAGUAAUUGCUCGAUUGAUUGGUUGAGGUUUUGGUGCUUAAAAGAAAAUAGCUAGACUUAGGGUUUUUAUUUUUCCUUGAAAUUAUAAUCUUACGGAUGCCUAAUGGGUUGCAUGCAUGAUAAUGUAGAGCUCAACUACUAAGCAACAAGUCAAUCAGCUCUCGCGUUUCUGGACUUUUCUAUUAACUAGAUCUAAUGACCCAAACAAAUGUGUUCGAUCAAUAGCAAGUGUCGAUCGAUUAUCCUAUAGGGAUAUCGAUCGAUACACCUUUCACUCCGUCGAUCGAUUAUCCAAUAUGUAUAUCGAUCGACGCGCUUCUAAUUAGGAUUUAUGCGCAGGUUGAAUGAUGCUCACUAAGCUCACUAGAUCAGCUCUCGCCUUACUCUUAGCAAGAAACUUAGCUCAAUUAGAAUGGUUUCAGGAUGAGAAUGAAGCUAUCGCUUUUAUCUAACAAUCCUAGGGCAAAUUCUAGGUAGUUAAUCUAGAAUCAGGCAUUAAUGACAAUCCUAAUGAUUAUUAUCACAAUUCAGCAAUCUAUAGUUGGGGUUAAUCCCUCAUAACCUAUUUAAACCCUAAAAUCUAACAAUGGAACUAAUCAGACAUGGCCAAGCAAUUCAUAACAACAAUUAGGUAAGAAAACUUCAUUAGAAUAUUAAAUAGAUAUUAAUGGAGUUCCAAUCACAAAUAUAAUUUUGGAUCUUUUCUCCAAUAUAUCAAAAUCCUAAAAACCUUUUGCUGAUAUAAUAGUAAAACUAGAAACACAAGAAAAGCACACUUUGCCUCUAACAUGGUGGUAAGGCUUAUAUAAUUAGGUUAAAACUCGUCAGGGUAAUCUUGUAAAUUAGUGAAUACUUGGGCUUCAAGUCGGCUGUGACCAAACGGGCUUUCUGCGCGCUUCGCUGUCGAUCUAUGUUCACAUCGAUCGAUGUUCUGAUGUGAACAUCGAUCGAUAUUUGUUCCUCGAUAUCGACCGAUGGUCGAGCUCGACGGUCAUCUCGGAUGCUUACUCCAAAUAUCUCCAAAAUCAUCAAUUAUCUCCAAAUCACUCCUCAUCUUAUAAAUAUAAUAAAUAGAUUCUAUAAUAUAAUAAUUAGUAGUAAAAACACCUAUAAACCACGGUGAAAAUGGGUCAAAUUCGUGGUUUAUCAGACAUCGAUUAUGGACACAUAGUCUAUCCCGGAGAUUUCAAGAGCUGAUUGGAAAGGAAAAAAUUUAACUCUCAAUCCGCCUUAAAAAAAAAAAAUCCUCCUCUCAACAAAAGAAAAGUACAAAAGAUAGAGAAGCAUCGAGAGACUGAUCAUGCUUUGAUCAGAUUAGGGCUUGAGUAAUCUAGGACUUCUCCUUUAAGAUUACCAUUAACAUCGCAAGGAGAGAACGGUUACUCCCGUACAAACUUAUCUAUGUAUCUAUUGUUUAUAGCAUUAAAACCUUAUUUUUUUCUUAUUCGAUCAAAAAAUGUUUUGAUGCUAUAAACAAAAUAAAACAAUUUAAUAAAAUGAUGAUAAUAAUAAAAUUCAAGAAAAAUAACUAACAAAAACAAUUGUUAAUUAUGGUGUGAUUAAUAUACAAAUUUACUCAAGACUGUAUACUAUCUUUUAUAUAUAACUGCAUGUACUUGUAAAAUUGUUAAAUAAGCAUAAUUAUGAAAAUAAUAGAUAAAGAAUAAUUUGUAAAAGCAAUGGAUAAAAAGAUUAAGUUAAAGUUAAAAAUGUUGAUAAAUACAUAUAAAACAUUGGUUAGCCUUUAAAUAUUAGUGAAGUAUGAGUUAAGAAAUUUUUUUUAACAAAAACAAAAAAACUUUUUAAAACCAACACCACAAAAAUAAAACAUUUAAUAAAUAUGUAUAUUUUUAAUUUUAUAUUAAAUAAAUGCUCAAAGCCAAGGUUUAUUUUUCGAUUUAGUAGGCACGGCACCUAGUAAUAAUUCGUUCGUACGAGUUCAAUAUCUCCUCACUCUCUAUCUCGACUCUAUAUAAACUCUCUCGCAUAUUCACAUAUUCCACACAACUUCACAAAACAUGUCUUCUUCGUUUCUCUCCUCCACUGCUUCCUUCCUUUUUGUUCUUCUCUACAUUGGUUCCUUCCACGUCUCCGAUGGAGCUCAACAAGGAACAUACAUCGUUCACAUGGCGAAAUCUCAGAUGCCCUCGAGCUUCGACCACCACUCUCUCUGGUACGAGUCCUCUCUCAAGUCCAUCUCAGAAUCUGCUGAAAUGCUCUACACUUACAACAAUGCGAUUCACGGAUUUGCCACUCGGCUUACUCCCGAAGAAGCUGACUCGCUCAAGACUCAACCAGGUGUCAUCUCCGUUCGACCAGAGCAGCGGUAUGAGUUACACACCACUCGGACUCCACUAUUCCUCGGCCUCGGCGUACACAACUCCGGCCUGUUCCCUGAAACCGGUCCAGGCAGCGACGUCGUCAUCGGAGUUCUCGACACAGGUGUUUGGCCAGAGAGCAAAAGCUUCUCGGACGAAGGAUAUGGUCCUAUUCCGUCUACCUGGAAAGGCGAAUGCGAGGCUGGGACAAAAUUUACCACUUCCCUCUGUAACCGCAAACUAAUCGGAGCUAGAUUCUUCGUUUGUGGUUAUGAAGCAGAGUAUGGACCAGUGGACGAAUCUAAAGAGUCGAGAUCGCCUAGAGACGACGACGGUCACGGAACACACAC
rnacentral:lncRNA from 1 species